AUCUUUUGCACUAAACAAAAUUUUUAGUCCUUAAAGGAAAAACUUCAAAUACCACUCGUGUGGUUUCACACUUUCUUACUUUAGUAUCCUGUGAUUUAAAAUAGAGAAAACUUCAAAAACCCCCUCUGUGGUUUUGUAGUUUCUCACUUUGCCCCCCUGUGGUUUGAAAUGUAUCAAUUUGCCCACCCGUGGUAUCUUUUUUCUCUUUUUCUUAUCAAUUUCAUUAUUUUUUUUUCUUAAAUCAGUGAAAAAGGUAAAAUUAAAGGGUGCUAAAGUGAAUAUUUGAUAAAUCUAGAUGGGUAUCUGAAGUUUUUUGUAUAUAAUUUAAUGAAAUAUUAACGAAAAAGCCACCGAAAAGAUAAAAACGAAACCACAGAGGGGCAAUUUGAUACAUUUUAAACCACAGGGGGGCAAAGUGAGAAACUACGAAACCACAGGGGUGGUUUUUGAAGUUUUUCCUUUAAAGUAUAUCAAUUUAGUACCAUGUAGUUUCAUUUUUAUCUUUUUAUUAUCAAUUCCAUUAAUAUUUUUUGUUAAAUCAAUGACAAAGUUAAAACUAAAAGGUACUAAAGUAAAUAUUCGAUAAAUCUAGGUGAAGUAUUUGAAUUUUUUUGUAUAUAAUUUAAUGAAAUAUUAACGGAGAAGCUGACGAAAAGAUAAAAAUAAAAUCACUGGACACUAACUUGAUUCACUUUAAACCAUAGAGUACUAAAGUGAAAAAGUGCAAAACUACAGAGGUGGUAUUUGAAGUUUACCAUACUUUAAAUCAAGCCUUGAACUUUCACUACAAAUGUCUAAAACAUGAAGGACCAAAUUGCGAAUAUCUCAUCUAUAUCUAAUUAGGACAAAUUUGUUAAGGUUGUCUUAAAAAGGUACGUACCAUGGCUCUUCGUUCACAACCGGAGGAGUUCCCACAUAACAGCUAACAACAACAACGCGACAAAGUGCUCUGACACAGACAUGUGGGACCCACCGUAAAUAAAAACAAAAUAUAUUGUACCGUACUAUGGACUGUUAAUUGUGACCCUCUAAAAUGAACUGCGACACGUCAUUAUGGUGCCACGUGGACAAUUUGUAGGUAGAGCACGUGAGCUUAUGCUACAAUAAUAGCUCUCCUCUCGAUCACGAUAAAGUUUAAAAAAGAAAAAAAUUAUAUGAAUAUAAUGUUCAAAUUAGUAUUUUUGAGGAUGCUUUGGAUAGGUGCCAUGUGGCUCCCAGGAGUCCAUUCCAUCAUCUCUUUUUUUUUCUCUAUUUUUUUUCUUUUUCUAAAAAAAAAUUAUAAUUUUUUUUUUUUAAAAAUAAUGAGAUGAAUGUCUGUGAGCCACGUGGCGUCCAUCCGAAGCAUCCUUAAAAAAUAUUAAUUUGGACGCUACGUCCAUACAAUUUUUGCCAAAAAAAUGGCACCAACUUUACAGUUGGGCCCCACCAACCCCACGUGUCCUGCUCACUCGAGAGCCAAUAAGGUUCCAUUUUUAAAGCACGUUGGCCCCACCAUAAUGUAGACUAAUGGGCCCGGACUACGUGAGCCCAAUUUAGGCCCAGUUACAUUAUUGCUCUCUCCCUUCACGGGCCCGACAAGUUGUAGACCACAGCUGUGAUUCUGACAUGUGGGUCCCACUGACGUAUGCGUUACACUGAAAACCAGAUCGGAGUCUCGGACUCUCGGACGCAGGAAAAAAACAAAAAUCCUCUGGUGUAACGGUAAUGUACGCUCUUGUGAGACUGACAUGUGGAGCCCACAUAUCGGGUCCACGUGUCGUGCGGAGGAGUAGCAAAGUGGGAGGUAAGCUUACCGCUCACCCUAACUUCAUCCGCUUCCUCCCGGUGAGCUUACCGCUACCUUCACGUUCACACUCUUCACCUCCUCACUCUACUCCUCUCCUCUCUCUCUCUCUCUCUCUCUCUCUCUUUCUCUCUCUCUCUCUCUCUCUCUCUAUCUAAUGCCGAGUCUCCUUGUCGGAUUCUUUGCGGCGGCGGUGGCGGCGGCGUUGUUUCUGCAACCUUCGCUUCUUCGGGUGAUCGCGGGAGGUAGUUGCUUGCUAGGGUUUUGGUUUUUCGAACCCUUUUCCAACUUUUCGAAGCUUUUUCCUCUACUUCGCUUGUCUCGUAACCAUGGAUUGAUCCCAUCGAUCCCUCGUCUCCGUCAUUUUGCUUUAAUUUUAAGUAGAUUUUGUAUCGGCAAAUGGUGAUUUUCGAUUUUAAUUUGAUCGGAUACCUAAUUCAUGUUUGCUAUUGCUUUGGAUGAUCUGUUGUUCCCUUAGUUGGUUAAAGUUGUGGAGUUAAACUGAUCGUAUUACAUUGAAUUGGUGAUUUUGAUGUAAUAGUAUUUGAUUAGAUGUUGUGUAAUUUGACCCUUUAGGGUAUGGAUUUUAAUGGUAUCUGCCUCAUUAGAUUGCGAUUAUUGAGGAGAUGAUAACGAUAGGUGGGGAAAGAGACAUUUUUGGCUUCAAUUGUACGAAUAUCUUACAUUAGUAAUUGCGUUUGUCUCGUUUUGGUUUUGGACAUUGACCUAUUAAUAUUGCUGUUUGUAUGUAAGGUGUUUUAGUACUUGCUUACGUCUUAACUCGGUCAAAAUGUAGCCAUAAAUGCUAAUAGCUUUAUUUCUAUAUGAUGGGCUAGUGGUUGGUCCCUUCUCUUCUUUCACUGUUAGAGAUCGUAUUUUCAAGUCCUGGGAAUUUAGUCUUGCAAAUUGCAACUAUUUUAAUUAGCAAAAAUCAUACUUGAGAUGGCAUCAAGGAGCAAAUUCAGAAUUUAAUCACAACCAUCCAUUUCGGCACUAAUGUAGCGGCUACAGAUCCAGGAUGUGACUACAAUUUGAAUGCAUGCUAAUUUAAUGCUUAAGGAAGUAAAUUGUCAUUUUUUGAGAUCGUUCUUUAUUAUCUUGCAGACUGCCCGCUGGACUUGAACUGGUUGAAUUAUACUUUGAUAGCUUCUUCGUGUUCGGACCAAAAUGAGCGAACCAAGUGUUGCCGUUACAUGAAUGCCCUCGUGGCGGUCUCAGUUGCUCGUUAUGCAAAUACAACCGGCAUGCUCGGUGUUCCACCUGCAUUCUCUGAUACCUGCGUUAGUACUAUCUCGGACACCCUAAUAGCAAAUGGAGUUCCCCAAACCGCCACCUCAUUCUGCGGAUUGGGAGUGAAAAUUCAGGUUUUUUAUCAAUGUGAAGGGAGAAAUACUAUACUGGAAAUGCUCCAGUCUCCCAACUUUGAUGAUGUCACGAGAAGCUGUAAUACACCACUUUCAGUGGAUGGUAAUUGCAAGAUAUGCUUAAACUCUGGACUUUCGUAUCUUCGCCAUCUGAUAGGGGUUCAAGAUAACGUCACGUUGAAUACCUGCCGCAAUGCUGCUUUUGUUGCACUUGCCAAUCAAGGGAAUAACUUAUCAGCUGUUGAAGCUGCCGCCUGUUUCUUUAGUGUACAGGGGCUUAGCAUUCUUCCAGGUUUGCAUGUUUAUUAGUUUAGAAUUUUUAUUUUAUGCAGUUAUAGUAAACUUGACUCAUGGUUGCUUGUUGUUAUGCAUUUUAAGUACAUAACAUAAGCUACAAUUUCUGAACUGGUUUUUUUUUUCCCCAGGUAGGACAAGCAUCCCUCUUGUGUUGGUGUAGAUGUGGUUGUUAUAUUAUUAACCUGGAGAUGUCAAUAUUAAUUGGGGUAAUAUUUGCCAAUCGCAGAUAGAAUCACGCAUAGUUGCAAGGGUGCAUAUAGAAUGUAACUAGAAAAGUUAGAAAGCACUAUGUAUUAGUUCAUCUAGAGUCUUUUCUGUGCUUUUAAAGUAGAUCUGUUAAGAAUCGAUUUCAAAAUAUGUUAACAUUGUAACAUGCAAAGAAGGCAUUCAGGUAAUUGCUUUCAUUGUUGUGUGUGUAUCAAAAUAACGUUAUUUUUUUCCUCUUGCCUCAUUUGUAAUGUUGUCAUAAACUUUGAUUAUUAAAAUUUUAAAUUUCAGUUAAUUCUUCGGAGCCAUUUUCUCCCUCGUUCGCCCCAGCUACUUCUCCAAGUCCAUUUACUGUGCAAGCUCCCGCACAGCAUCUAAUUGCGGUACCACUCAAGGAUCAACAUAGCCACCAUUUUAUGUUGAUUGCUGGAAUUGGAGUCACGAUUGCUGGGCUUGCAGUUUUAUUGCUGCUAAUUCUAAUUAUACUUAUCCGGAGAAAAGUUAGAGAAUUGAAGGACACCGAGAUCACUCAUUCUGAGCCACGGAAUGGUUUCUCGUCCUUGCAUGUCCAGAAGUGUCAAGAAGGUAAGCUUAUUUUACUUCUUUCUUUAAUAUAUACCAGUGAAAGAAGUAUAUUGGGGUUACCUUGCAAUGUUUUAAUCAAGAAGAUCUACGACAUCAAACAUAAUUUUUUUUGGUGUAUUUUAAUCGUAUCCCAUCCCUCAAAAUUUUUAAAAUAUCAUAUUUACACAUCAAAAGUUUGAAAUAUCAUGUAUCCCCCCUGUAGAAUACACAUUCUUUUAGAAAUUCCCUCUUUGGAAGGUCCUUUUGAAUAUCAGAUGCACAUUUCAAGGACAUUUUUCAUUUUAAUAAGAAGUUUUUUGAGAAUUUCCAUAAAAUAUAGAGGGUCAUUAUGAAUUUUCAACUUUUAUCGGACAUAUAUAUUCAUUGAUCUUUUGAGGGGUAUGUAUGUAAUUUUGAUUUUCUGCUUUGUCUAUUUGAACAAUUCCAUUUUAUCAAUGCGAAACUAAAUGUCAAAAAGGAAUUCUACGCAUUCUAAUAUUCACUCUGACAAGUUGCUUGUGAAAUCUUAGUGUGCAAGCAUAUAGCUCCUUAAAUAUUUAGUUAAGUAAAUUUAGUUGUGACGACUCAAUUGGUAUUGAAUAAAUCUGCCUUCAAGUCCACUUAUGAAGAUCUAUCAGACACUUCUUAGUCAAUCUUGAUUCUUACAGAGAUAUUUUGCAGGUUCAACUGCUAUUUUUCAGAUAUUUACUUACAAGGAACUGAAGAAGGCAACUGGCAACUUCAGCACAAUCUUGGGAAGAGAUGAAUGUGGCAUCAUGUACAGAGCUCAGUUUAUUGAUGGUUCAGUUGCUGCUGUGAAACAAAUAGACAAUGUAAUGAAACAACGACUGGAGGAGUUUUGCCGCGAAGUAGAGCUACUUAGCAGGCUGCAUCAUCGUCAUCUUGUUGCAUUAAAAGGCUUUUGUUCCACAAAAAGUGAGAGGUAGAUAACUUCUUAAAUUUAAGAUGUAUAUACAUAUAUAUUACUGCACUUUUACCUAUUUACAUGUAUAUACAUGCAAACUUAUCUCGUCAAAAAUGACAUUUAGAAACAUAAUUUCUUACAUAUAUACCAAAUGCCCAAGAGAAUUAUUCUCGUGAAUUAAAUUACUGCCCAUUCCCCAACAUAAGGGGAUUUUUUGUAUAAUCUGUACUUAGAGAUAUUUAUAUGAAUAUUCAAAUUUCACAGGGGCAUAUAUUCAAAUAGACAAUUCUAUAUGGAUGAACUUUUACUAAAGCACCUAUAUUUAAAUUUUUAGAUGGCUCUAGAUGUUGCUAAAAUGUUGUUAUUCUCUAUUUUGUCUUCAGGUUCUUGGUAUAUGAAUACAUGGAGAAUGGAAGCCUAAAAGAUCAUCUUCAUUGUAAGGCUUCGUUUUUCUCUCCUUUUCUCAUUAUUCCUUCCUAUCUAUUAGUUUCACUUCUUUAGUUGUUAGGCUGAGAAGAAACCUUUUCUUCCUUCACAGCAUCAGAGAGACCACCAUUGGCAUGGCAAACCAGAAUCAGAAUCGCCAUUGAUGUGGCCAAUGCUCUGGUAAGUUUCAGUGAUGGUUCUCUCUUUAUGAUGGUAUGUUCUUAAUUUAUGUAUGUCUCCUCAAAUUUCUCCCAAAAGUUAUUUUAAACCCGGGCCCACUCCUUUUACUAGGAAAAAGUGUCUCUAAAUCCCUUGUCUUUUUCUCAAUCAGAUUCUAUUUCUCUGUGUAUUUUUAUCUUUUAGAUUCAGAUAAUACAUAUAUCUCCUUGGAAAAGCUGACUUUUUGUACAUCCUUCAAAACGUAGUUGAUGCCAUUAUACUUACAAAAAGCUCCACCGAAAAAAACUUUUUUGCCAUGGAUUUGACAGCUAGCUAACUCCUAACUUAAGAUAGAAUAUAUUGUACUUGAACUUUGAGGGGUAUAUAUGAGAAUUUUGACUUUCGAGAAGUAAAAAAUGGAACUAGAUGAGUUUGCCGGGAUAUGUAUGUAAAAGCUCCUUUCGGUUUCUUUUUAUCUGCAUUCAUUGAAGACCGAUCAAUUUUGACAUGCAGGAGUACCUUCAUUUCUAUUGCGACCCCCCUCUUUUCCACGGUGAUAUAACUUCGAGUAAUAUCCUUUUGGACAGGAAUUUCCUCGCGAAGGUACUCAUUGUGAGAAAUUGUAUGCUAAGAACGAUAAUGCUCAGUCGGGCUAAUUAAAUUCCUUAUUUAUACAGGUUGCUGAUUUUGGUCUUGUACAUUAUUCACGAAAUGGCAAUACCGGCUUUCUACCUGUGAACACAAAGAUCCGAGGAGCUCCAGGUAAGAUCCUUCAUACUAACAUCAUUCCUUCUUUUGGGGUAAACUGCACCAGUGGUCCUCAUUCUUUCGAGGUUAAUUCUGUUUGCUCCGAACCUUUCAACUGUUACAAUUGGGUCCCUGUACUAUACUUUCUUUUCCAGUCUUAACAUUUGACUCAACUCCACAAAUUAAGCUGCUGAGUCCAAGUAAACACUUUGGAACUUCUAUGUAAGCGACUUGAGAGCCAUCGUUAGUUAGAAGGUAGUUUUAUUACAAUUGUCGUUAGGGGGAGUUAUGUGACACUGAUGGGACAUUUCAUCCAACUUAUUAGAGGAAUUUAGGAGUGAGAUUGCAAUAGAAAGUGAAGUCUAUGUACAGCAUUAUAACGAUUCAAAGGUUCGGGACCAAAAUGAUUUAGGAUAAUAUAACCUAUGACUGAUCUUCCUAAGAUAAAUUUCUAGAAAUAUCUAGGUACUCAAACCUUUAACUCUUACAGGUGUUGUGGAUUCCGAAUAUGCGGUGACUCAGGAAAUGACUUCCAAAAUCGAUGUGUACAACUACGGUAUAAUGUUAUUAGAACUUGUGACCGGGAAACCCGCUAUGUAUGAUAAGGAAAAUCCGGUUGACUGGUCUCAGAAAUUCACAUCAACUGAAUACUAUUCGCUACAGAAAUUGGUCGACCCAACAAUUUCCGAUUCAAUCGAUUUGGACGAGCUCGAAAUGGUGGUCGAGCUCAUAGAUCUGUGCACUCAAAAGGAAUCUAGAGAACGGCCAUCAAUGAAGCAAGUACUGAGGAUCCUCUACGAGAGGUUCGACCCUGCGCAUAGGGAGUUUGUGAAGAUCAUCGAGGAAGAGGAAGAUUAUUGUAAUGGAGAGAGGAAAGUUAGAGGAAAAGAACAACAGUUCGGAGAACUGAUUCCUUUUAGCAGCGAUGCGAGGGGCCUUCUUCAAUCCUCUUCUAGCACGUCAAGAUCAUAUUGUAGUCGGAGCGUGUUGCUCGAGAACAAUUCGCCGGAAUCUCCCCACGGUACUUUUUCUGCUUGAGCCCCUUGAUCUUGGUCUUAGAUAGAUGGAUUUAUUUGCGUGUGAUUUCUAGGAUUUUUGUCUAACUUAGCCCUUAGUUGUUGGUUUUAGGAUUUUUUAGGAUUUGAAUGUAAAUGAAAAGCUCUUUAUUUUUCUUCUCAUUUGGUUCUCUUUCUCCUCUUUUAGAAGCCUUGAGAAGUUGCAGCUGCAACUGGUCUUAUGAAUCUCAACAGGAAAUUUAGUCGAUGCAUUUAUUCAUUCAACAUCUUAUGUAUGAUUUUAGGCUCGCGAAAAAUUGACAGGAUAGAUACAUUGAAUUUAAUCAAGUAUACUUUGUGAAUAAUGAUCAAAUAGAAAUCGUAAGUGUGGUGGCGAUGGUAACGAUGAUGACGGCGAUGAUGAUGGCAAGGCUGAUGACGGUGAUGAUGGCGAUGCGUAAUUAAUUUUAUUAAGUGCAUUAUAAUAGUGAUAUAAUAGUGACUAUACUCAUAUCAACUAUCCUGAGCAAGUGGUAAAGGGUUUGGUGGUUGGUACUCGAGACCCAAGUUCGAAUCCUAGUUGAUUCACAUUUUUAGCUAAUUUUACUUUUAAAUGAAAUAAACGAAGCGGGUAUAUCUUUCACAAAAAAAAAAAAAAAAAAAAAAAAAAAAAAAAAAAAAAAAAAAAAAAAAAAAAAAAAACUAUCCUGAGAAGGAACGCUAGUUUUUUUUUUUUUGAGAAAAAGAAGGAACGUUAGUUAAGGGUUCAAUUAAUGGACCCUUCUAAACAACGAUAGUACCGCAUCUUUGCCUUCUAGUUGAGAUUCCCCUAUCUAAGACAACAAAAUAAUUCAUUCUUAGGAUUUGAUUUAACAACAAUUAGUAAAGCACUUCUUAAACUAAAUAUGGUGGUCCUGUUGAUGAUGAAGCCCUUUGCGUGUUCUUUUCGUUUUAGCCCGCACGGAUCAAAAGAUAGUGUUUAUUAUUUGAGGAGCAAAAUUUCCCUCAAGGUCCCAUUUAGGUGACCAUCGUAAAGAAAAUGGCCAAUUUAUGCAAAUUCAAAUUUUAAAAUUCCAAGUUAAAUUGUCGUUUUGAAACUUAAAGAAGUGUAUUUGAUAUAAAGAUGAAGACGUCUUGAAUUUAUUAUAAGUCUCUGAAUAUAGGGGUCUGUUUGUCUUUGUGGGUUUCGAAUAUUGAAUUUAUAUCUUCGAGAAAGUUGCAAGCAUCGGUAUUUAUUUUGACAGCGAAAUCGUGAGAUCAUCUGAACUCUUAUUCAUAAUUAUAUGAAGAUCAAUUUUUUUACUUUGACGGGGUGGAGGGCGAAGUCGAGUUCGCGAAACUCAGGAGUGCCUCGCUCUCCGACUUUUUGCUUCUAAUCGGCCUCUAAGUGGGAAUGCUAAAGAAGUUUAUUUUUCAUAUAGGUCCGCUGCAAUAAUAAAAGCUAAGGUCUUAAAUACAUCAUCACUUGUUUCCCAAGUUGAAUUCAACAACAUUAAAUGAGCAAAACUUUCAUGUCACUCAACAUGAUCAAAUUGAUUAAUCCCAAAAAUUAAAAUGUCUCUUAUUUUCCCCUUGAUGAUGACACCCACAAAGUUAUCUCCCCUUCAUCUUAUAAGAACAUUCCACUUUAUGCCCACACCCCCAGUGGAAUCCAAUAUCCCAUACCCUAACCCAAUCAUCUCCCAUAUAUGUGUAACCCUAUUGUAGCCACCCACACAUCUAUAUAUCCACAGUACUUAGUAACUCCAUUCCUAUAUAUACUCACCUCAAAACCUCAUUUUCCCACAAUUACUACUACACCCAUUAACAAUGAAUCUUAGUUUCCCUCCAAGCCUGUGCUCUCUCAUGAUCAUCCUUUUAUCAUUCGAGCUAGUGUUCUCGUCGGAAACCAACGAUCGACGGCCGUACAUCGUCCACAUGGACGUGUCGGCGAUGCCGGCACCCUUUGCGACCCACGAGAGCUGGUACUUGUCGAUGCUCUCGUCCCUCCCGACUCCGUCGGGCGGGCGCGCUCCGACUCAUCUCUACACUUACACUCACGUUAUGCACGGCUUUAGCGCCGUGCUUACUCCUGCGCAGCUCCGACGGCUAGAACGGAUGGAAGGCCACCUCGCGACGUACCCCGAAUCGUACGCGCGUCUGCACACCACCGACUCCCCGCAAUUUCUCGGCCUGAACCCCAGCAUGGGCAUUUGGCCUGCGUCGAACUACGGGGCCGACGUGAUCGUCGGGAUUAUCGACACGGGCAUUUGGCCCGAGAGCAAGAGCUUUCGCGACGAAGGCAUGCCUCCGGUGCCUGCUCGGUGGAAGGGGAAAUGCGAGACGGGGGACGCCUUCAAUGCGUCGCUCUGCAAUCGAAAGCUCGUCGGUGCUCGGUCCUUCAGCAAGGGGUUGAAGCACAGCGGUAUAAGUAUAUCGAGCGACGACGACUACGACUCACCGAGGGACUUCUAUGGACAUGGCUCGCACACGUCGUCCACCGCAGCCGGGAGCCGGGUCCCCGGCGCAAGCUACUUCGGGUAGCGUGAAACAGCUGUUAUCCUCUAAAAGUUUGAAUUCGAAAACAAACGUGAGAAAAGAAAACUAAGUACUUGUGUUUUUAUCGUUUAUACUCAACAGGUACGCGCCGGGCACCGCGACCGGGAUUGCGCCCCUGGCUAGGGUGGCCAUGUACAAGGCCAUAUUCGCGGACGACGAUUUGAACUCCGCAGCCACCGACGUUUUGGCCGCCAUGGAGCAAGCGAUCGUCGAUGGCGUGGACGUAAUGUCCUUAUCGCUCGGCUUUCCCGAAAGCGCUUACUACUUGGACGUCAUGGCAAUCGGAGCCUUCGCGGCAAUGGAGAAGGGAGUUUUCGUCGUGUGCUCGGCGGGGAACAGCGGUCCCGAAGCUUACAGCAUCUUCAAUGGCGCGCCUUGGAUCACGACGGUCGGAGCGGGGACGAUCGACAGGGACUACUAUGCGAACAUAACUCUAGGAAGCGGCGUAAAGAGCCUCCGCGGCCAAUCCAUCUACCCGAAGAGCACCCCACUGUCGAAUCUCGCGAUAUACUACGGCAGCAGCAGCAAACAAAGGAAGUGCAACUCCGACAGCCUCGACAAGAAACGCGUGGCUGGUAAGAUCGUCUUCUGCUCCGCCGGAGUCGACGGUGCAAGAGCUCAACUGAGUGAGGUGCAGAGCAGCGGAGCUCUCGGGGCGGUGAUCACGACCGACGAAGGAGAGCAACUCGAUACCAGUGACUUUUACAUGCCGUUCGCGACCGUAGGGUUGUCGGACGGGGAAGUGAUCAGGAAGUUCAUCGCGGGAACGAAGGCGCCCAGAAUGAGUGUUCGGUUCGGGGCGACGCAGUUGGGACCAACUAUACCCGCUCCCCAGGUGGCCUACUUCUCCUCCCGAGGGCCGAGCCCGGCCAGCUCAAGUAUCUUGAAACCUGACAUACUAGCCCCAGGCGUGGACAUCUUGGCGGCGUGGGUGCCAAAUAGACCGUUUGUCGAAGUCGGAGACGACAACCUCUACACCGACUACGCGUUAGCUUCCGGAACCUCUAUGUCCUCGCCGCACAUCGCUGGCGUGGCAGCGAUGCUGCGCUCAAUUCACAAGGAUUGGAGCCCCGCAGCCAUCCGAUCGGCCAUGAUGACUACCGCCGACCUAGUGGACAACACCGGGCGCCCGAUCACCGACAUGGUGGGGGGAUCGGCGGCGAGUCCUCUAGAUUUCGGUGCAGGGCACUUGAACCCGAACCGAGCCAUGGACCCGGGCCUAGUUUAUGACUCAGGCUCUGAGGACUACAUCGAGUUCCUCUGCGGCCUCGGCUACACGAACCAGCAGAUAAAAGUGAUCACGAAAAGGCGCGAUUUCGCGUGUUCGAAAGCGAAUCUUGAUCUGAACUAUCCAUCCUUCAUGGUGAUCCUCAACAAAACUACGAACUCCGCGACUAGAACAUUUAAGAGGGUUCUGACAAGCGUCGGUGGCUCAUCACCGUCGAGAUAUAAGGCGGUGGUGAAUGCUCCGACCGGCAUGAAGGUGGCGGUGGCGCCGGCGGUGCUGGUUUUCGGAAACAAUGGCAGCAAACAGCAGUUCGCAUUGACGGUCCAGAUCAACUUAGAAUACAAAGCAAAUGAAAAUCACUUGGGGAAUUAUGGGUUUUUAAGCUGGAAUGAGGAUGGAGGGAACCAUGUGGUAACAAGCCCAAUAGUUUCAGCUUAUGCAUCUGAUUAGAUUAGUAAAUAAUUCUAUAUAUAUAUAUAUAUAUAAAAUAAGAAUCUCCAAAUAUAGGAGAAAAUGUCAGUGUAUAUUUGAAUCAGUAAUGUAGCAAUAAAGAUCAGAUGCCAUGAAGAUGACAAGAAGAUGAAGCAGCUACAAGAUCUUACACUCAGUAUUUUGUCUUCUUUGAAAACUCUGUUAUUCACUUAAUCCUUAACACCAAUUUGAACCACUUUUCUAGUAUUAUUAAUCAUGAACACUGAUUAAUAUGAAUAUAUUGUGCCAAAAAAUUGAUCAAAAAUAUUGAGAGAAACCAUGUGUUAAAUUGAUAAGCGCCUUUUCACUGUUGUGGCUCAUGAAACAUCUCCUUCAAUCAGAGAGUAGUAGUUGUUAGAAGUUUAGCAAAUAAAAAUUAAGAAGUUCUAACUGUAAUGGAAAUUAAGGUAAAAUAAACUGAUGGGUUUUAAAAGCAAAAGGCUGUAACAAAAAAUAUGAAGCUAAAAAGAAGCACUAUUUUUGGUUAUUAAAUGAAGCACUUAUAUAUAUAUUAUAUUAUUCCAAUUUGAAUAUAUAUAUAUUAUAUAUAUAUUAUAUUAUUCCAAUUUGAAGAGUUGGGACAAUUUUAUAAACUCACUAUCAAUCCGAUUUUUCCUAUUCUCCGAAUCCAUAUAACACCGAUCUUAUCAAGGUUUUAUCUAUUCGAGGACUCUUCGUACCACACUGUCANUAUAUAUAUAUAUAUAUGACAAUUUCAAAUUACAGGGUUGUUAUAUCCUUUCCUUCUUUAAUAAGUUGAAGUAGAUUUCGGUUAAAACUAUGUCUCCCCUGCUAGUCAUUUACAUAGCUAUGAAAGUGAAGUUUUUUCAACUCUAUUGUUUGUUUGGCAGAAAGCAAAUUAUUUAAAACUAUAAUUUAUAUAUAAAUAAUAAAUAACUUAAUAAAAAGUAAAUUAUAUUAUCAUAAAUAAAAAUAAUAUGAUUAUAUUCCUACAUGAUUAAUAAAAUUAAUCUAAAAUAACUGAAUUAUUUUUUAUAUAUAUAAAUUAUAAUAAUACAAUAAUAAAAUUAUAAAGUAAAAAAAAACUUAACUAAUUAAUUUUUAUUAUAUUUUAAAUGUACAAACUAAAUGAAGAAAAUAUUAAUACUUAACUAAUCAAUUUUUAUCAUACUUUAAAUAUGCAAAUUAAAUAAAGAGUAAUUAGUGCCAUAAUUAAAUAUAUUUAUAUAUAACUAGCAUUAUUCAUUGUAUUAUUUUAUUAUUUUUUUCUUCACCUCUUUUCACCGUAAUUGACUUCGGCCCGGGGUGGGCCGAAGUCAAUAACGCUAUUUUCGGAAAACUCAAAUUUCGACUAUAUCUUUAUUACGACGAACCAAAAAGCAAAAGUGAUCGUUUACAGUCGAAAACGACUUCACUUCUCUCUACUUCUCCAGACAAACAAGCCUUAAGCGAUGUGAGACUAGUCUCACUAGUCUUAUCAUUCAGACCUUAACUUAGCUUGUUAUGCAAACCAUGAGGAAGUAUUAAUUAGCCCUAAUACCAAUUAUGAUGCUCUACUUCUUAAAGGGUUACCAAUUCUAAAACUACUCUAGUCUAACACACUUGACCCUUUUAACCUUUUGAAUCUGGCAACUACCUAAAAUGUUAUAGUCAGGUUAAUAGUUUAACCCUAUUAUAUCUCACAUAUAAAAAUAUUCUAAACAGUUAAGAGCAUGAGUCUUUUGUUGACUCAUAAAAAAAAAAAGGAAAAUACCAAGUCUUCCAUUGACUCAGAAAGUAAAAAAGGAUAGAUGUAUUUGCUCUUGCCCUCUCCACCAUUCAUGUAUCUUUUUAUCCUAAACUCCAACUUUAACUCCACUCAUCUUUGUUCCAAACACAUGCAUUUUAAUUUUCUGCGGUUUUGGCAAUGACCGUUCCAUUCCAAGUGCACUCAAUUGCCUCUGCACUACUUUCAUGUAGUGGACUAAACCAUAAAAAAGGAUGUGGACACAAUGGACUAUAUCAUUUAAUUGCAUAACUUAAUUGAGUAAUAAGAUGUUCGUGCACGCAAAUAAAGUUUUAGAACCUUCUCAGCCACACUACGUCACAGUGCUUUUCGCGUGCUGAGUUAGCCUAAAAACCAUAAUCUACUAGGAAUUAAGUGGUAGCACAUGGCCUUAAUUAUUUGGUAUUUGUUAUUUUUUUAUUUGUAUGAUGGAUAUAUUCUUGUCACAAUUAGCUUAAUUUAUCCUUUCCUAAUAGAAAAAAAAAAAUCUGAGUGGAUGCAUUUGAAUCAAGUUUUAAAACUCGGUUUAAAACCAAAAAAUUCAGCGAGAAAGUGUUUAUAAAUUAACCAUACGGUUUUUUUUUUUUAAGAACUUGUCUCUUGAGAAUGCGGUUGUUUCGCAAUGGUAUAGAUAUCCCGAGUUUGAAAUUUAAAUGGAAAUCACAACCUAGUCAAUUCAAACUCUUCAAAUGGCCUAAAAAAUUUGCCAAACCCAGUAACGCAAAGGUAGAGCACGCUUCUCUUUUUUUUAAAAAAAAAAAUCAAUACAACAUUGUGAUACCUACUUAAUUUGCCAUGCCCCGGAUUACAGUGAAAGUCUUGGUUACGUCAACAGACCCGCCGCAUGCAUAAGAAUACAUACGAAGCGUCAAUAAACCCGUCCAAUCAAAUUAAGUAAAAUCUAACAACAAUAGGUAUCAGAGUAAAAUAAAAACUAUAUACUAUAAUAACACUGUAAAGAUAUACAAUCAUCACCACAUCAGUCCUCAAAAUGAUAUAAUAUCUCUAACCACUCCAAACUUCAAAGCACUGUACAGACUACUAUAUACACUGAUAAGUGAUCCAACUAUACAUACAAAAAGGAUAAAAAAUGCUAACUACCCGCAAUCUUCUACCCUCUUUAUUAAUAUUUUAUUUUAGAACCUUUAGCACCAGCGACUUACUAUGCCAUUGACUAAAUUUUGGAAAAUGCAUCAUUACUUUGCUAUAAAUACCUUCGUAUAAUUACGUGUAAUAUCUGUGCGACUUAAGAGGUGCUGUGAGAUUUGCACAGAUAAGAUUAAAUGACGUAGGUCACACAUUAUCAUAGCAAAUGAAAAACUUCUCAAUUCGACGUAAGCGUACGAUUCGGAAGGCAUAGCAUUUUUCUUUCAUACAAAUAUACUAUCUGAGCUUUCAAUAACUGUUCUACACUUACAGGAUCGAAACCGAAAUGAAUACAUCAACAACUUGUCAUUCAUUUCGAAUGUUUCAGAAUCCAAUUAGUAAAAUACAAGGGGGGAAAAUCAUAUACAAAAAUAAAUAUCCAGUAAAGUUCAAUUUUACCUUCAAUAUUUUCCAAGCCCGGCUAGGAUAAUGAUUUCUCGAUCGCUUUUACAUACACAGAUUUGGGAAGGGUGCCGGUUAUGCUUCCGACCUUCUCCCCAUCCUUGAACAGCAAAACCGUCGGGAUACGCUCGACGCUGUAAGAAGUUGCGAUUUGCGGAUAAUCGUCAGUGUCAAGCGUAUAACACAUCACUUUUCCCGAAUAUUCUUGAGAAAUCUCAUUGAAAACGCGGUGGGUCAUUUUACAAGGCCCACACCAUGAGGCCCAAAACUCCACGAGAACUGGGACGUCGCUGCAGAGAACGUAUUUGUUCCAGUUGCAUGCAGUAAUUGCUUCAGCUGCAUAAAAAUAGGGACAGCAUUGCUUUCAUAUAAAUAUGAUUAUGAGAAGUGACAAAGUUGGAGUACUCAAAAGUAAACAGAUUAUGAUGAAAUUAUGAUGGCAUAGAUUACAUAUUUAUGCAUUGUGAGAACUUGUCUAUACAACUUAAUCAAUGGAAAAGUGCAAAAGAAAGGAAAUAAAGGAACCAAGAAGAAUCAACUAGAGCUUUCUAGAUUAAAUGAGUAUAUUAUCCAGACAUCACAUUCUUCAGAAAAUCUAUUGUGGCUUUAAUUUCUCAAAUGCUACCAACAAGCAGAAGUGUACUUGGAAUUCCUCCUAAUUCUAUCAGAUCGAACUAAUGUACAUAUAAUACUCGCAUUGAUCAUUUCUUAGAAAAAUAUACUUUUGGGGCUCCAAAAUGGUUUUGUAAUUUAAGGACAAAAAGUAAGGGAAUCAAGAUCAAGGAAAACAAAGAUCAUAGUUGAACCUAAUAAAAGCCCAAAACUACCAGAAAAAUCAAGGUAUAAAAAAUCCUGAGGAUGCCACCGAUUAAAAGAGAUGUACAAUUCUCGGAUUGCACUAAACUUUUGAUCAGAAAAAAGGGAAAGCGAAAUGAAAAGAAACAAAAAGAACACGAUAGGGGAAUGCUGUACAAGCCCAUGGAAAUUGAAGGGGUCACCCAAAGUAUAAAGCAAAGGGGCAACACCUGGAAACAAUACAGCAACUUUGACAGUUCAAACAACCCUUAUAAACCAAAAGAAAUCAUGUUAAUGAACGAUCAUCAUAUUCCCAAAAAGGUUUUAAAAAGCAAACACAACUUUGCAAAAUCUCGACAGGUGAUGCUAAUUUUUGUACUCUUCGCCAGAAAAGAGAAGGAUCGCUAUGAUAGUUACGAGACUGAGAAGUGACAUGAACAAAAGUCUAAUCAAUCAGAUGGAGAUAAUUUUGAGCUUGAACUAGGCGCUGAUAAUUUUUAAUAUUUGUUAAAAGUUUAAACUAACAGGUUAAAGUUUAAUACAAUAAUUAUGAGUUUGAACUAGGUGUUGAUUAUUUAAAAGAAAAAAACCAUACUUUCCUCAUAAACUUGAGUACAAGAAAAUGGCCAAUCAGAUAGUUAAAUUAACCACUAUUUAAAGAACAUGCUUGAAUUUUCCUUUUUUUCAUUGUUAAGUACAUGAUUGUAGCUAAUACGAUCUAUAUACACAAUAUCUAGCAAAAAAAAAUAAAUGUAGGGGGAGUGCAAGAGUACGUUACUAAGUUACUAUUGCUGAAUAUUGAAAAUAGUGGAAUUGUUAAGACAUUGAGAACUAGGAACUGCUAUCUCGUUUUCAGAUCACAGGAAUUUAUGUAAUUAACUAAGUGCAGCAAGAAAAGCACCCAACCAUAACAGCAGAUACAUGAAUAAACUACCAUGAAGAUACAGGGUCGCCUAAUAUCAUUACACUCCCAAGCACAUUGGUCCCUAGAAAGGAACCAAAGAACAUUCCGUCAUUAAAUAGGAAGAGGCCCUUUAAUAUUUUGAUUUCUGAAAGGAUUGACCAUCUGAAACAUGAAAUAAGGAGCAACAUUUAAGUACAUGUCUGUCCUGGCUUCUAAAAGUAAGCCACAUCAGCAGCAGGUAGACACUUGGGGAGCAAAACGACUAGAGAUUUUGUUUUGUGUUCCACCAGGGCUGAAAAACCUCGAUUGUUCUACUACAGCCGUAAGCUGACGGGGUUAGUUUUCCUUCGUGCACCUCUACCCGAAUAGCACUAUGCCGGACCAAACACGACCUAAAACAUGCCCUUCAAACUUUUAAUUUCUUUGUAAGGAAUUCAUUCAUCGCUCUCAUUUUCACCUAAUAUGUUCAGUUUUUUCUCGAGAUAGAUCGAUAAAAUCACAUCCUUCGGCUCUUUUAUAUGAUCGUCUUAACAUGAUUGAACUUCUUCAAAACCUCCAAACUUAAAACCAUCUUUGUAUCAGCAGCAAGUUAUUGGCAUUUAACUUAUUCUUUCAUUACAUAUGAAAAGGGGCCAAAUUUGGCUUCGCUUCUGAUUUUGCUUUCAAUUGCAGGAACUCCUAAGUUCUAACAGAGCAUUUUGGCUGGCGGGAAAUUCUGGAACUUUUGCCAUGGUAGUUUCUGAGUCCAAAAUUCAAGCUGUUAGGGAUGAUUCUUAAAAAGUGCUUCUCCUAAUAGCACAACUCAACAGUACAAUAAUCUAAAGCAACACCACAUAGGCCCUAAAAAGGAAUCAGAAGCAAACAAAAGGCCAUUACCAAUCUCUCAAAGCAACUAAUCAACAAAUAAUUAGAUGAAUCAUGAAUUAGAAGGUAGUUUAUGAACGCGAAGAUCAUCGGAAUCAUCAUUUAACAAAUCAAAUCAUCAUUAUAAGACCGGAAAAAAGGACAAAAGCGAUUCGUGUCCAAAAGCGCUUACGCCCAUCGGAGAAGACGCAGAGGAACCUCCCAUUCCCCGCGAUUUGCCUCCGCCUCCGCCGCCUCCUCGCGAGGGAGAGCGAGGAGAGGGUCGAGCGCGAUCGCGCGCACCACCGAUCGGAUCCACGGGAGCAGAAGAGGAAGGGGUUAUGGAGAUGGAGAUGGAGGUGAGCUUCGACGCGGAGGCGAAGGGGAGGGGCGACGAGGUGCGUCGCCAUGGGAGAGGCGCACGAUAAGCAGAGCGGCGCACGAUAAGCAGCGUCCAUUUUGGGAACGACGACGAUUCGGCGAACGCGCCCGUGCGCGUGCUUAAAUAAUAAUCGGGUCCGAGUUUCGGCGCACCAAACAUCGGAGAAACUAUUGAGUAGACCGCGACUACCACAUCAUCGGUGGACAACAUUUGGUGAAAGUUUGUGUGAACCUGGUGUACCACGUCAUCCACGGACCUGCAACUCCACCUCCGACCCAAUAACGAGCCCAAAUUUUAAAAACGUGGGCCCAUAUCUCGGCCUAGUUUCAUCUAACCUUUUUUUUUUAUUAUUAUUAUUAUUUUUAAGCUUUAUGCCCUUGCCCCCUUCUUCUUCUUCGUCUUCGUCUUCGUCCUCUCUCUCUCUCUCUCUCGCUCUCUCUCUCUCUCUCUCUCUCUCUCCUCUGCGAUCGCCCCAACCCUAACUCUAUGGCGAGUGGCGGUAAUGGCGGAGGCGGCGCAAGUGGUGGGAAGGUCUCGUUUAAGAUCACCCUCACCUCCGAUCCGAAGCUCCCCUUCAAAGUGUAGGGCUCUCUCUCUCUCUCUCUCUCUCUCUCUCUCUCUCUCUCUCUCUGUGGGGUUUCUACGGUUUCUCAUCGUCUAAUACAUGGUUCUGUGUCGCAGCUUUAGCGUUCCAGAAGGGGCGCCCUUCACCGCCGUGCUAAAGUUCGCCGCGGAGGAGUUCAAGGUCCCGCCGCAAACCAGCGCCAUCAUCACCAACGGUGUGUAUCUCGUUCGAUCUCCCUACUCGUUCUUCUCGAUUCCGAUCUAUCCAUUUAGGUUUUGGAUCUCGGAAUUUCUGGAUCUCAGAAUUUUGUUAGGUUGUUGCUAGAUUGGCAUUAGAACUGUUCGAUUUAGGAACUUCUUAGAGGUUAAUUAGGAAAUGAGAAACGGAAUUGGGAACGAUUCAGUGAGUUGGUUGGUCAGAUCUGCUUUAUUUGAUUUGGAUCGUAACUGUUUUGAUUGGAUGGCAAUCACAAGAUGCGUAUUUAGGGAAAGGAUUCAAUAUUAUUGUCUCUUUUUUCCCCCCUUUUUUUCUAGUGUGUGUCUAUGUACUUGCAUGUGUAUAAGUAUAUUUUUUGUAAUGCAAAUCGCCCAUUCAAUUUGCCCAUUCUGUAGUAUACAUAUAGAGUUGAUACCAGUUUUAGGGAAUUUGUGGAUAUAGAGUUGAUCCCAGAUGAUAGAACAUAGAUGCUUCUGUCUAUAACUAUGCUGAAACUGCAAAAUUUUGCUUCGGUCAAGUUUAACUAGAGCUGUUUAUAUUAGCAUGCCAUGGCUGACACCAGUUGCUUGUUUUUUUCCCCCAUGCAGAUGGUGUGGGCAUCAACCCACAGCAAAGUGCAGGUAACAUUAUAAAGAAGUACUCAUGUUGUUAAUAUUCUCAUAUUUUUCUUAGAUCAUUGGUGUUGCGUUUUAAUAAGGGUGCAAAAUUUGUUGGGGCUUUGUGAACUUGCUUAUCCAUCAUCUAGGUUCAAGUGAUACUGGGUUUUCCUUGCAUCUAUUAUAUACAUAGGUAUUUAAUUGGUAAAUUACACCGUUUCUUACAUGGAAAAUUCUAUACGUAUUACCUAAGUUGUUACAUUAGUAGUUGAAGUAUGUGAAAGUGGCGGAUGCUGAGUAGAGUCCCUUGGCGAUCAUCUAGUAUGCAGCAAUAUCUAAUCUUGUUCUUUGAAGGUAGCGUUUUAUUCUAAACUUACAUGUCUGAAUUAGCAAAAAAUUAAAUCUUCUUCUGAUCAUACAUCAUUUAUCUGAACCACUUCAGCUAGAAUGAUCUUCCUCAGAUGAUGACAAUAGAUAAAUAGAGAAGUUUGUUAUUUUGACUAGAUAUAUACCAAGCUUUGGUUGUAAAGGUGAGGAAAGAUUUUUCUUCAUGCAUAUAUGUGUAAGGUUAGUUCCAUAUCUUCUGAUUAGAUAUCCUACAUAUACCUUUGUGUCAAAAGAGAUAUUUUAAAGCAACUGUAUAUCGCUUUGGACAUGCAUUAUUUUAAAGCAACUGCAACUGUAUGGUGAGUGAUUGAAGAUAGUUUAUGUAUCCGUGGAUCGGAACGAAAAGAAAUGUUUUUCUUUUUUAUUUUUUCUGUGGAGAGGGAACGAAAAGUAAAAAAUUCUUUAUUUGUGGGUGCUUUGAGUUGAUAUCGUAGUACUACAAGCAUUUUUAUCCAUUUGGAUAUUUUAGGCCCAGUUAAGAUGGGUGUUUUGGAGCACCCAAAGCGAGCUUUUUAUGAAGCAAGUUUAUGAUGUCCGAUGCUUCUGUUGCAAGUUUUACUGAAAUGCCAAAUGCACAGCAUAGUCGUCUACAUGAAACGGCGAACACAUUGGAUUAAAUUUGGCAAUAUUCUAACUGCAGUUCUACUUGCCUCUCAAAUAUUGCUUUUUUGAAGAUGGCAUUUGGAAGAAUUGUUACAUUUUUGUUCUCGACUGAAGAAUUAGAUCAGUUUUUUUACGAUCUCAUUCAGAGAGUAUUCAAUCAUGUUCAUUUGUUUAAUCCUUUAUGAGUUAGCCCUUCUUGUCCUAGCUAAGCAUUUGCCCGUGCAUCUGGUGGUUGCUGGGCAAAGAUCUAGGCUGUUUAAGCGCCAAGACAAAUUUGUGCUGCCUUAUUAGUUGGCACCUAGACUAUCUGCCUAGUUGCGAAGGCAAUGCUUUUGACUCCUGGAACAUUUCCUUUUUGAUCAAUUUGUGGGUUACAUGGUAUUAGCGCAAGUCUUUAACUUCCAUGAGCUUGUCUGUUCAAAUCCCCUACAUUGUGGGUCUUUUCCUAUCAGAUUGAUAUUUUGGUUAAUAUUGACAACCUUGGAUUUUACUUGUCAUGGCUUUCAGAUUAUGUCGAGUCUAUGUCGCUUCAUGUUCAUGUCGUUUUGAUUUGGGUCAUUGACUUUUUGAAUCAACUUAGUUCCUCGACUUCGUCAAUUUUUGACGACUCUAACUACAAUUCUGAUUUUUGUCUCUGAUCUCUCUUUAUCAUAACAAUGAUUUCUUAUAUAAAUCUAUUUAUUAGUUGAUUGUGAUUUAGUUUGUGUUUGUAACUGUCUUUGAGCUCCUUUACUUACACAGGUAAUGUGUUCUUGAAACAUGGAUCGGAGCUGCGUCUUAUACCUCGUGACCGAGUAGGAUCUUCCGCUGCAACUUCUUAGAUGUCAUUGUUAUAAUCUCAAAGAAUAUAAAGUCACCUUCUCAACAUCGGUGUCAAUAUAUUGUGCUGAAAUUAUUGUUGGAUGUGGAUGGGAUCUUCUCCCAAUAUUUAAGAGCAGGCAAGCAAUAAUCAUAUGAUAUUUAUCAUUUAUUAUAUGCUGUGAUCUUUUGAUAUACUAGUCGGUAACUUUAUGCAUAUGGUUCAUGCAAUAUUGGAACCCUAUGAUCUUCUCUGGUUAUUGUGUAAGUAUAUUUUCAGAUUCAAUAUAUAUAAAUGCUGCACAGUAAUUGAAACCCUCUCUCUCUCUCUCUCUCUCUCUCUUUUGGAGUGAAUUUUCUACAUUCCAGUGUACAGAAUUUUGUUGCAUGCUGACUAAUCCGAUUGUCCAUCGAAAGAUAGGAAGAAAUCUCGACCGCUUGAUCGUGACCACCUUGUCUGGUUCGUGUUUUGGAUGGACGAUAGAAUUAGUGCGUGUGCUGUGCAGGAAAAUUAACUGUGCAUAAAGUUGUGGAGAUUUUGCCUCUCACCACCCUUUGUCUUUAAAAGUUCCCUUCCUUUAUUUUAUGAAUUCUAGAAUUUCUAAAUGCUUUAAUUAAUCAUUAUUUGAUAAGACUCUUUUAACACAUUUUUCUAGCAUUUAAAUGUAUCUGUUAUCAAAUUUUUUCCUGAAUGUAAUUUAAGCUUAAAUUGCUUGUACAAAGGAAGAUGUUGUCGAUGGUUUUUUCUCUUUUUUUUCUCUUUUUUUUGGAUGCGAUAGAGAGUCGAAAGCUUGUCUAAGUAAUACUGGGGAUUCUAUGGAUGAGAAAGGAAAAAAAAAUCUAAGUCCACGACAUUUUCUCCAAAUGCUUACAUAUACUUUUCUUUUUUUAAAAAAAAAGGAGAGAAAAAGAAGAGCAUAUUUAUCCAAUUAAUACACGUUGCCUUAUUCCCUCCCAAAUGAACUAAAAAUAUUCAAGUGGUUAUGCUAAAGAGUGAAAAAAAAACAUCCAAACUAACUCAAAAAAAAAGAAAAAAAAAAAGAAAAAGGAGAGAGUGUAUGGGAAAGUACAGCUCUCUGAAUUUUGUCAUUUUGGACUUGAACCCUCCUCACCUCCCACCUCAUUUGAUUUUAAAACCUUUGGUCAAAAUUUAGCACUCUUUGUAUUAUUUUUGACGAAAUAUUCUAAAAUUUGACAAGAUGGAGCAUUCUACAUUUUUUUUUUUUAGAAGAUAACGUUAAAAUCCCUCCGCACCUUAUUUUAAAUCGUAUAAUAUAUUAGUUGGAGACUCAAGUGGAAAAUAAAAAAAAAAAAAGAAAAAAGUUUAGGACCAUGUUUAAAAAAUCACAUAUAUUUGGAGGAUUCUCCAAACGUUCUAGCCUCAAAAGAGAAAACAUAAAAAAUGAUAUACGUUUGCGCGUGCUUUGAAAAAUAAGAAGUUAAUUGGAGCGAAUUUAGGGAGGUUUACUUUUUUGGAAUUUAAAUCCAUCCACACUAUUUAAAAAAUUUCGGGGCUUGAAAAAGCCAUAAUAAGCUCACGAAAUUUAGAAGCUUUAUGGGGUUUCGCUUUAGAUAUUAUCACGUGGAGCUGUGGAGGAUAAAAGAGUGAUUUACUAAAUAAUCAUGAGAUAAUAUCCUAUCAUUCACCCAAUUGAUUUAGCGGAAUAUUCAUCAAUUAAACUAAAAUUUGAAUUGUUCAACGCAGUUGCUUAUUAACACUUUUUGAUUUUAAAAUCAUCAACACAAUAUAUCAAUACGAAUAAUUUUAAUCUUUAUCGAGAUAACAGAAGAGUAUUAACUUAGUUUUUGUUAAAAAUUGUAGAGCUUUACAAGCGAGAAAAGUAAUUUUCAUUGUAGCUAUAUAUUUUUUUUCCACCACCAUAGCCAAUGCAUAUUAAAAAAAAACGAUUUUAGCCGUUUAAGAGAUGGCCACAAUGAUGGGAAUUUGGUUUUCCUUUUUAGGCGUGAUGAUGAUUCAGUGGAGGAUAAAGCAUUUGAUUUGACUAAAUUUUUGACCGCAACGUUACACGAUAAUAGUGGAAUUUGAGGCCCACGUAAUUACAAAUUAGUGGUGGGUUUAAUGAUUUUCCUCCUUUUAAAGCCGUUAAUAGCGGCAAAGCGGCGGGAAAAAUGCAUAUAAAAUCACCCAAAGCCACGCAGUGUUUAGUGUGGGGGAAAAAAAGAAAAAAAUCUGGUCCGUUGGAUCGCUCCUCGUGAUUCAAAGUUCGUGAAUCUCAAAGCGCACUGCGGAAUGGGUACCGUUUUACUCUGUUUUUUUGUGUAUAUCAACAACACAAUAAUCUCACCGCAUCGCACUAGCUCGAUCAUAAUCUAAUAAUUAGUAUUUCUUACAAUACGAAAUAUUAGCACUUGAGUGUUUCUAUUAAUUAAUUUGCAUUAUUUAUGUAUUACUACAGGGUAAAAGGAACAGAUAGUUCAUAAAUUUUAUGCAACUGGAUUUUCUAUAACUGUAAAAUUAAAGUUUCUUUAGUUCUGCUGUUUAUUUGAAAAAAAAAUAAAUAUCAUAAGAAUUAAACGUGUGGGAGAUGAAUUAAUAUUUUAUUUUUAUUUUUUUAUAAAAAUAAAGUUGCGAACAAUCUAACAAAGAAAGUGGAUAUUUACUUACUCUUUUCCCCCUCUCAAAUCUCAACCUCACCAAAUGUACUUUUUUUCCCCUCUCAAUCUCACCAAUUAAAAAAAAAAAAAAAAAAAAAAAAAACCUACAACCCCACAAUCCAUUAUAGGGCAUUUUUUGCAAAUAGCCCCCUGACAAAUUUUAUUUACAAAAAUAGCCCCGUCUAAAAAUUAUUUGUAAAAAUGGCCGUCCCUGCCACGCCAGCACCACGUCAGCGCCACGCGGGCAGGGCGGGCCCAGGUGUUUAAGUUAAACACGACGAACCAUUCACCGUGUUCAAUACAAAAUUUUUUUGUAUUGGACACGGUGAAUGGUUCACCGUGUCCAAUACAAAUACCCCAACAAUGACUAAGUUGGAGGUAUUUGUAUUAGACACGGAGAACCAUUCACCGUGUCCAAUUAUUUGUAUUGGACACGGUGAAUGGUUCACCGUGUCCAAUACAAAUAUUUCGACCUUAACUAUUUUGUAUUGGAUACGGUGAAUCAUUCACCGUGUCCAAUACAAAAACUUUGUAUUGAACACGGUGAAUGAUUCACCGUGUUCAACUUAACCAUCUGGCCCAGCCCCGCCCGCGUGGCGCUGACGUGGCGCUUGCAUGGCGGGACCGGGGCCAUUUUUGCAAAUAAAUUUUUAACAGGGCCAAUUUUAAAAAAAAUUUUUAUAAGGGGGCUAUUUACAAAAAAAAAAGCCCUCCAUUAUAUCUUCCUCUACAGUAAGCAAAUCAUUAGAUUCCCCAUCUAAAGUUUGAAUCCCCUCUUCUUCAACACCCCUUCUCCAAAAAAUGGGAGAAGCAACAAAGUCCUAUAAACCCAACAACAAUGGUGAGAAACAAACCCAUGAGAGAACACACAAGGCCCCUUCAUGGGUUGUUCUCAAGAUACUCUCUCCAUGUAGAUAUUGCCAUGUUUCAGAAGGUAAGAAAGAGGAGGAGAAGAAGAAGGAUAUAGAGGAGAAAAAGGAUAAUUUGGGGGCUAAGAUGAUGGUUAAGGGGCCAGGAACAAAUUGUUCCAAUAGAUAUUUGAAGGGCCCUUGUGAUGAGGCCAUAAACAAUGGAGGUGCUUCCACUUGCUCUUCAUUUAACUCAUCAUCUGCUUCUGCUUCUGCUUCUGCUUCUGUGACAAGUGCUUCUUCUUCUUCUCUCUGUUCAUCUUUCUCCUCACUUGGUGGGUCUUUUAGAGGAGUGCAUAUGAAGAAGUUAUCUGGGUGUUAUGAGUGCCAUUUAGAGGCUGAUACUUUCAAUUGUGUCUCCAAAGAUCAUGCUAAGAUUACCACUAUUUGUUCCUGCAAUGAGUGUGGAGAAGUUUUUAUCAAUCCUGAGGAUUUGGAGAUUCACCAGGCAAAUAAUCAUGCAGGUUACUCUGCUCUCUCUCUCUCUCUCUCUCUCUCUCUCUCUCUCUCAUAAUUUUACACCUAUUUUUAAGUUGAUUUGUUUUUGGGCAUUGGCCAUAUUAGGCCUUUUCCCUGCAUUUUUCUGAGAAAGUUCUGAAACUUGUAUGGAGAUAACAUAUUUGUGACACCAUUUUAUGAGAAUAAAAUGAUGAUUUGGUUAGUUUACUAUUCAUGGCUUUUUCUUUUGUAAUUUUGUCAUGCUUAUAAUCUGUAUCAAUACUGAGUCCUGUAAACAAUAGUAGAAGAACAGAAGAUUCUUUUUUUCAAUUGUAUGAAAAAAAAAAUGUUAAUAAUUUGAGUGUGCUAUUGUUCAUGAAUAAAUUUAUCUAACCUUUGUUUUGUUUUUGUUUUUCUUUUUCUUUUAAUGAUCAGUAUCAGAACUUGGUCCUGAGGACAGUAGCAGAAGCAUAGUGGAAAUCAUUUUCCAAUCAAGUUGGCUUAAUACUCAGCAUCCAAUGUGCAAAAUAGAUAGGAUACUAAAGGUGAACAACUCCCCAAAGACCACAGUAAAAUUUGAGGAAUAUAGGAACAAUAUAAAAGGCCAAGCCAUCAAACUAUCUGAGAAGUAUCCAAGAUUUGCAGCUGAUGGAAAUGAGCUCCUAAGGUUCCACUGCACCACCUUAGCAUGCUCACUCGGCCUCGACGGAUCGACCAAUCUAUGUCAUUCAAUCGACCGCUGCGAUGUUUGUGAAAUUAUUCGCUACGGGUUCAGAUUCGAUGAGCUUGGAAGGAUCACUCUUAGUAGUAGGGCACGCGAAAUAAGUCCGAUCUCGUGCGGUGGUGAAGCGAAGAGGGCGAUGUUCGUGUGCAGGGUGAUUGCAGGGAGAGUUAAGAAGAGCAAUUGUUCUACAGUGUGGGAAUGUGAGUCUAUUAUUACUUCUCCUGAGGAUUUUGAUUCAAUGGUUGGUUCAAAUUCAGAAGAGCUCAUUGUGUUCAAUCCUAGAGCUAUAUUGCCUUGCUUUGUUGUGAUAUACAGUUUUUGUUAAUGUAAUCUUCUUUAACAUCUCUAAUUAAACUUAUAUUUCCUUUGCGAAUUUGUGAGGUAACAUUGAAAUUGAGUUUUGGUUCUUGUAUGUGUUUCAUAACCUCAAUUUUUUGGUUCCUCUUCUGUUAUGCUAUGAACCAAUCCAUCCAACAAGAUAAAGAGAGAAAUGCAAACUCUAUGGGCAUCGGAUUCUUGUAUAUUCAACUGCAUGAUUGAUAAUGAUGAGAUAAUUUUUUGUAUUUUUGUGUAGAUAGAAUCAGGCAAAGAAUGUGUGUGUGUGUGAAAGAGAGAAAUUAACAGUAUUACAAAGGGCUUUUUGGAAUCCAAGAAUGGUUCAAUUAGAUACUAUCUAAUCCAAAACUCUUCCACGGAUUUCGCUCGGCAAAUAGAAGAUUUGCUUAUUAUUAUUUGUCAGAAACUUUGCAAUAUUUGUAUGAUAGCCUCGCGGUUGAAUUACACAAGGAAUCAUUUUCUAUCUUAUGGUAUUUUGGUUGUUUAUAAUUACCUGUUUAUUACUGCUCAUGAGUUUAAAACUAAUGUUUUUAUCACUUGGUUUAUGAUUGUGCCUCAACAGCAUUGCUACAAAUCAAGAAUAUCUGGCAUUAAAACCUGAUAAAGGAAAUUGAUUAUAGUAAUUAGUAAUAAUCCCAUUUCUCUCAAAAAGAAUAAUAAUUCCCUUACACUAAUUGUUUUUGUGGUUGUAAUUAAUACUUAUCACUGCCACACAUCUAGUGAUAGAGGAACCAUCCUGAUCCAGUCUCCUGAAACCAACAAGCAUUUUUUUCUGCUUCUUAGGAAAGGAAACUUGACAAUGGUGGGGAGAGAGAGAGAGAGAGAUGGGGCAUCUGAAACACUACUAUUUAGGCUGGUUGGUCAGGGGUCUCUUCUCAGAGAUAGCUCAGCAACAGCAGGAGACAAGGUAACAUGAGCAUCAGCAAAUUGGUUCCACUCAUCAGGCUCAUUGCUUUACUACUGUUGACACAAAUUCAGGACCAUUUUUGCAAAAAAAAAAAAAAAAAAAACAAAAACAAAAACAAAAAAGAAAAGUUGUGAAAUAGUGAUCAGACCAUUCAGUAGUAGGGACCAAAUUUUGGCCUGACAGCUGGUGAUGUCCCAUAGGGUUCAGAGAUUAGUAAGGUACUGAUGAUACUGCUGACAGAAUUUUAACACCAGUUUAAAUUUUAAAUUAAUUUAAAUUGGCCUAAGAACUUAGAUUUGGCUUCUGCAGCAGCUUUUUCUAUUGUAAUGAGAAGUUGCAGAGGAGCCUAAAAAAAGCUGUUAGUGCUUAAAUAUUGAUUAGCGAGAGAUGAUGAAGCAAGAUUUUUCAUAUGUAUAGUACAGGAGAACAAUAAUAUGAAUGAAAAUGCUUUUCAUCUUCAAGCAAAACUUUGUGUCACAUUUUCAAGAAGUUACUCUGCCUUGUACUCGCAUAUCGGUCACCGGCAGAGUCAGUCAAGUACAAUACAAACAAGCAACAAACAAAUGCCAUCAUUUUGUGAAUUCCUAAAAAUGACUGUAUUAUUUUUGAGCCCACCUCAAUUGUACUUGUAUGGUGUUGGUUCAUCCGAACAAGUCGUCUCGAUGUACCGUGCAACAGCAAUAUUAAUAACCAUCUUCAGCUGUCUUUAACUGUACAACAGUGGCCAGUGUAUAAUUAGCGGAAUCGCCAGAGUAGAAAAUCCACCUCAAUUACCAUCAAUAUAGGAGUUUGGCGUUCAUUUCAACUGCAGCUACAUCGAAUCAGAGGAGCCCAACAUUAGGUUGAACAUGUCAUCCGGGGUUAGAAGAGUCGUGCCGCUGAGAAUUAACUCAACAUCCGGUCUACUGUUUUCGGAGAUCGCCUCCAUAGCUUCCCGAACCUUCCAAAACAAACAUGUUGAAUAAACAUUUAACGAUAAGCUCGUCUCACAAAGCAUAAGGAACACGAUAUGAAAGAGAGAUUAAACUACCAAGUGAUAAAUUCAUCACUGUCCAAAUAUUGCUAUUAUCAAUUGCUUUGAUCUUCUAUAAUGACAACAUAUAGUGGCAUUCAUAAUUGAGGUUUGCGUGAUCAACUCAAUAGUAGCAGUUAAAUCAUGUUGAGAAAAAAAAAAAAAAAAGCAUGAAAAUAAGGGGCAUAGGGUAUCAAACCUCAAGGCUGUUGAUGCCUCCUACAACGAAAAUGAAAAGGACACUUUGAUCCCCAAAACUCGGCUUAGCCUGGAAAGUGUGAAUACAAAUUAUCGGGACUAAACAGAAAAAACAUAAAAGCAUAUAAAGACUGGAAGAAGCAAACCAACCUGCCCAAGGCCAAAUCGACCAAACCCAGUUUUGAAAAACCGCCCAACUGCUGAAGAGUGAUAUUCUAAUCCGGGUAUGUCAUACUUCGCCAGAAGAGCAGAUAAAAGUUUGUAAAGUAAACCUUUUCUACUAUAGGUAUCACUUCCUAACUUGCUUAAGGCUGUGAGCCCUUCUUUUAGAACUGGAUUCCUCCACUUCAAACUAGAUAACUUACAAAAAAACUUAAAGAGCUGAUCAACUCUAUCUCUCAAUUCCAAUUUAAGUUGCAUAUCACCGUAUGAUUGUUCAUUCUGAUUAUCCGUCUCAUCAUCAUCCCAACUACCCCAUUGAUCAUCAAAAUCAUCAGAAAUCUUCUCAGCAGCAUUUUCAUUUUUUUCAUCAUCUUUUCUAGAAUUAGCUUCGAGAUCAUUCUCCAAACCAUGGAGGAAACGAAGUUUCGCAGACGAUGGCCUUUCGAGAAUUGCUUCCACCACGGCUUCCUUAAGAGCAUGCUCCUCUUCCCAUGAAAACGGCCCGGUAGAAACAGCUGUUGGAAAAUUUUCACCAGCUAAGAUGUAUCCAAUAGUUGAUAGAAGCAAUGCAUCUUGAAAAUUGAGGAGACCCUCUGAAGAGCCCACCAUUUUAUCUUGUUGACUUGAUCUAACCAAAAUGCUAGUGUUGAUGAAAUCACGUAUCUGACUAGAAAGACUCUGACUUGUAUCUGAAGAACUCACACUUAAUAUUUUCUGAGCACUCACAAAUGCAUCCCACCGAGAACUAUGAGGCUCACUUAGCGCAAUUUCAGUAGCUAAAACUAGCUGAAUAAUUCCUCUGUUUCGAAUCAGAGAGUUCUGAUCUCGCGCCAGCUUUUUAACCAUAGCUCGAAGCUCUGAAGCAGAAGUGAUUCCUAACCGAGCUUUUGAAUUCAUGGAUAGUUUCUCGUUCUGAAGUGCUUCCAAGAGCCAUUUCUUUAUCAGCAAGGCACCAUCUUUUGCACCUCGAUCGAGUAAUGCUUCUAAGUAGCUUGCCCCUCUAUAAUUGGAAAGAAAGGACCCAUUCAAAGUACCUAAUUCACUAUUAAGUUUGUUACUAUUUGCUAACUCGGGAACAUCAGAUUCCGGUUGACCAGAGUUCCAGCCAGAUAUAAAAGCUAUUAUGCUUUCAUGUAUCUGAUCACUUCUCUUUUCAGUUCCCUCUUUGCUUAAUAUUGAGUCAAAAGGUAUUUUUAUAUCAAGAGGUGGGCGUAGUACAGUAACAGGGGAGUGGUCUCUUGAACUUUGCACGCUUUUGACUUGUGCAGGGGAGUUUCUCUCUCUUCGCGGCAAAGAAGAUAGCAAGCGAUCAAGAAACGAGUCGCCAUGGCAGCAAGGUGUGAGGAGAUCAAUCGUACGGUCAAUAAGCAACAGUCCAGCUGACAUCUUACUACGUCGACUUACAUCAUACAGACUCGACAUGUCGGUUAACAUCUUGCCAAUGAUUUUUGAUGUGUCUCCCAAUGAGAAAAUUUCCAUCUUCAGAUCCAUCUGCACAUAUUAGUUAGAGAUAUUUAUAUAUAAAAGUAUACCACUACAGAAUUAUUUAUUUAGUAUUUACACAUAUAUCCCUGCAAGUUUUGAAUUUUCAUGUAUAGGAAAAAGCUUUCUAAAUACAUAGUUGUACUUCGAUAAACGCCCUUACUAAGAAAUUUUUCCAGAUACAAAACCAAAUUCCCGAGAACAUGAUAACUCUCCGACUUAAAAUAAAGGAAUUUCCAUACAAACUGAACCUUAACGAGUUUAUAUGAAGGCUUGAAUUUUAUAGGGUAUGUAAGUAUAUAGGUGAACUUGCAGGAUAUAAAAGGAAAAACCUGCUAGUAAAGCUGACAACACUUACUUUAUCCGCAAGAUGGUAAAGGAAAUGGGCAGUCAAGAUAGCACCAGGAGGUACGUCCUCACCAUCAAAAGGUAGGCCGGUAGAAAUGGCGGGCAAUCCAGGACUUAGAGAUUCUUCAUUAUCAUUUGACAAAAGAGACUCUGCAACCGUUCCUUCUGAAGGCAAGACAAAUACUCUAGUUGAAAUAGGGCAAAUAAUCAUUGGAAAGUGAUUUACCGAUAUGGACAACCUUGCCCUGCCAUCCUCCUUGCUCACAGACUCAUCGGCAUAAAAAUUUCUUUUAGAAGGACUAGCUUCAAUAUUAGGGUCAUUAGCGUAACUAGUAUCGAGUCCAGACCAAAUGUUAUCUUCAGAAGAUAGUUUUGUGUUUUGGCUGUCUGGAGAUUGAAUAUGUUCACUGUUUCGGUGUGUGAGAAGUCCUUCUUUCUCAUGCCUUUUAACAAUUUCUUCAUAAUCUUGGAGAAGCAACGAGUGGUACUCAUGAAAGGCAUCAGGUCCUAGUGGUGAAUCAAUUAACGCUGAGUGAGCAAUCUGCAAAUUACACAGGGUUAUUUUUUUAACAAAUGGGCUUGAAGAAAUAUGGUGAACUAGUUUUCGAAGAGCUUAGAAAAUCUCGCUGUGAUUUACUGUUCAAAUUUUGGAUGACCAAUGUUUACCAUCAUUUUUCCUAUCAUAUUUUACUUGAUAUAAGUAUAUAGUAAAACCUUAUUUCAAAGCAUAUAACAAAAGUUCUAUUAUCUUAAUGUCCAGCAUCAUCAAAACUAAAAUUAAAAGAAAAAUUGACAAAAAUAAUCAGGUCUGUAACUGAAGGAGCACCUCCGAAAUAGACGUAAAUACAGCACAAUGAAGAACGGUUCUAUGAGUGAUCAGGCAACGCAAAAUAUACCGAUGCGCAUCACUCAGAAGACGCGAUGUUAUAAUUACGAUCUUCGUAGCAGGCUCUGCCAAACUAUUGUUCCAAUCCACAAUCUGCGUAAGGAAAACGUAGCAAGGAAUUAAAUUCAACUCAUCUCAAUAGUAAGAGCAUCGACUCUAAUGGAUGAUUAUCAAUCAUCAUAAAAAGGAAAACUUAAUCUAGAGUGCAUAAGUUAUCGUCAGAAAAACUGGUAACCUAUUCUAAAUUAAAAAGUAACACUUAUAUUCUCGAUUUCAUAAAAUGUGCUCUGUGUUUGAGCUCGGCAUUACGCAGACAAACAUAAUUGCUCCUACGAAAGACUUCAGUAUAAUUUAAAAACAACAUUACGCUGAAUGCGGAUGCCGUUGCCAAGAAGCAACUUACAGCAUCAAGAGGAGACAAAUUCUCUAAGCUGGAAAUGGCGCGCGCCCCGAGUUCUAGUAGCAGUGGAAAUGCUCCAAUCAAUUGGAAAGCCUCUAAACAACCAGCAUCUACAUAGAGAAUGGCACCUGCAAUAUGAUCCGAAAUCUAGGGAAAAAAAUAGAAAAAUAAAUUAGAUCAGGCGCCUCAUUCCUAAUUGCCACAACAAACUCUUGGCAACAGUAAAUUAUCCCUAAAGAGAAUUUUGCAAACAAAAUUAACAAAUUUUAGCUAAUUUCUCACUACUCCAUCCAAAUGUAAGGCAGAAUUGGAAGGAUCUGAAGAUCAUUCGAUUCGAAUUAGAUUCAUCUGCUGAUAAAUGCUUCAUGCAGUUCCUUCGGUUAGUAGAACAGUAAAAGAUCAACAAAUAUGGCGCUCUUUUUUGGUAAAAAUUAAAUAAAUAACUAGAAAUAUGGAGAUCAAAUGAUAGAAAAAGAAAUGAAACUAGAUUUGAAAAUAAUAGCAAAAAGAAACGCAUGAACUGGGGCGGAAAUGGAGAGGGAAAAAGUCGAAUCGCUUCGAAACCUCGCGAAUGGAGUUGUGAGAGGAUGUGAUGAGAUCGACGGAGCCCAUCUCUCCCCUCGCCUCCUCCUCCUCCUCCUCCUCCUCUUCCUCCUCCGCCUCCCACGGCUCUCGUAGAAGAAGCAAAUGGAAGCACCGGAGAGGGAGCUUCGUAAACGAAGAGGAAGGAGAAGCGCGUUUUUGCAAUAAAGCCCUUUUGGAGAUUUUUAUUUGCCAAAGAGUUCCCCUUUAAAAAAAGAUUUUAUUUCGCAAAAGGGCCUUUUAGAGCUCAACCAGCCCAAUUGAGAAAUAUGAGCCUUUUGGGCCUUCAUUUCUCAUUACCCACAAUUUGGCCCAGAUGGGUAGAAAUUGUAUUGUGGAAUCAGUCUGCCACGUCAUCCGUGAACCAUUGCUAAGAUCAUGGGCUGUCCACGAGUGAUGUGGUGCACUGGGUCCAGGGAAUAAAAUUUGAGCCAGUUCAUUGGGACGAUGAAUUAGUAAUUUUAUUUAUAGGGAAUUGUUAUUUUUUGUUUAAAGAAAAAUUGUUAUUAUACUUGUAGGAAAAAUAACAUUUUUUAAUUGUUAGCACACGAUUUUGUUCGCAGCAAAAACAUUUCAUCUUCGUUAUUCAUUCAAUAGAAUUCAUGUUAUCAGUAGCAACAACACAUCGACCACAUAGCACAAGACAAGCAGAUCAAUAGGGCCUUCAACAACAUAUUCGCAGCUACACUGAUACUCAGAUCUCCAUUGAACAUUUCACUUUUUCUUUUCUUUUUCUUUUUUUCUUUUUUUCUCCGAAGGAGACCAGUCUCGGAUUUUCAUGAUAAACGUAUCUUGCGGAACACCAAACUGGUAAUCCCCGCUAGUUCGGGAAGUCAAAUGCUCAAAUUUAUAAACCAAGUACACAAUUCGCAAAGAGUUCGUCGGCACUCAGAUCCAGAGAAUUCAAAACAUUGCCUAGAUUAUAGAAAACUGAAGCACCAUGUUCACAGAGUAACUAGUUCCUCAAAGCAAAAGCAAAAAUCUCAUCACAAUGAAGGAGAAAAACUACAAAUGUUGAUAAAGAGUUUCUUUUUUUCUCUUAAAUAAGCCUGCGGGGCAGCAGUGGGAACACCAAAGUGUUUACUCCAUGGAGGAUGAUGCAGGACCAGCACCAAAACUGCCUGAGCCGCGGCCAAACCCGGGCCUCGCACCAGAACCCUGCAUAUGUUUCAGGGAUGGAAAAGAUCGGUCAAGUUAAAGUUUAACACUAUCAAGUUCAAAGAAUACGAGUACAAGCUUGAAUUUUCACGGAAAGCAGAUAAAAAUCAUUCAUAAAGUUAUAAACUGGAAUAAUAGUGAAUUAUAGGAAUAUUUUCAAGUUAACCAUGUUAAUCAAAUUAAAGGAUAAAGUGCUAUCAAGUUAACCAUGUUAAAUUGGAAAGAACUUCUAAUAAGCUCGGAGGUUGCACAAGAGAGAAAAGCAGGUUUCACAUCAUCACAAAAUUGCACAUAAUUUUAAUCCUAAAACAAUAUAAAUAUAGGAUGUUGUAGCCUGAAUAUUGGGGGUGAGGAUUGCAUAAUCUUGUUUGGCAAAUGAACCACAAAAAAGAUUUUCACAUUUGAAUAUUAUCGAUAUAUGAGCCACUUACAAUACAAAGUGAAAUCAUAUACAUGAUACAUCAUAGAUCAAGCGCCCAAACACCUGCAGGGUGUAGUGCUAUUUCACUAUGUUAGUGUUCACUAUGUACAAUUCUUUGCAGAAGUACUAUUUAUUAUACUUCCAGCAAAAUUAGAAGCACAAAAUUAGAGCUUUUGCAACCACUGAGACUUACAAUCUCAUUUCAGCUUAGUGCUGCAGAAACUUUCUCGUUGUUAAACACACACCACAGUUACUAUGAAAACAGAAGCAGAAGCAAGACCAAAUAGUUCCUAGGGACAACAUAAGCAUUUUCAUAUUAGCAACACAAACUACAAAAUUCGUCUUCACCAUUUGUAAGAUGAAUAUUAAUGACCGGACCUGAUAAACUAACUAAAAAUGGACAAAAGUAGCAAGAAUCACAGAGUUAUGACUGAUGAAACCAAGAAAUCAAACUGACAUUUAAAUUACAAGAAAUAAUGACAAUGAAACUAAAAGAAAAUAAGUUCUACACUUCUACUUAAUACCAAGUUUCAGGUAAGAGUUAGAAUGAGUUCUCACCCUAAAUGAUGGCUGGAACUCAGGAGGAGCGCCACUCUUGUCGCCGCCAAAAUCACCAGGAGCCCCACGAGGACCUCCACGGUACCCGUCUCUCUCUCCAAACCUCGGCCUAUCCCCUUCAAAACGGGGAGGACCCCUGACAAAAAAACAUUCACCAUAAAAACUCACCACCUAACAAUCCAAUGGUCAAUCACAGGAUUAAUCCUCCAAAUUUAACUUGUAUUCAGUUUCAUUCUCAGAGUUUCGUCCCUAAAAUUUAACUUGUAUUCAGUUUCAUUCUCAGAGUUUCGUCCCUAAAAUUUAAUAUCUAAUUCAAAAAGUUUUGAUUUUAACAAAGGAAAGUGUUAGGAUGGCGCGGAUUUGGCACUUUUUCACACAGUAAACUAGCUAAAGGAAUUAAUUGUCAAGCAAAUCAAAACUCACUGACUAAAUUGUUACAAUUAAAACUACCGAAUAUGUAAUUGGUGCUACUCCGAAACACUAAAAGCAAUACACUAAAUCUAAAACACAUCCAUAGCACGACAAGGGAAGCGAAAAAGGCGAUACCUCGGGCGAUCACCAGGGGGACCGGAUCCGAAGGGGCGGGAGGGGGGCUUCGCCGAUUUCUUAAGCGUCGCAGGGACGAUCUCGGAGGGGAGAUUGAGGUAAGUGCGCAGGUACUCGAUACCAUCGUUGGUGAGGUACCAGUAGUAGUGUUGCCACGCGAAGGUCUCCCUCACGUACUCCUUCGACUUGAAGCUCUGCAUCAGCUUGAUCACGUGCAGGUUCGGCACGUCGAUCAGCGGGUGCUUCGCGAGGUUGUAGUCCUUCUUCGCGUACAACACCCCCUCUGCGAAUCCGCCAAGGGGAAUCGGAUCAAGCUACGAAACCCUAACCCUAAGACUAGAGAGACUGAGCAAGGAGACGAACCUUGGAAGAGGUACUUGCAAAUCUCAUGGCGGUUCUUCUUCGGAAUGAUCUGAUAGAGAGAGAGAGGGAGAGAGAGAGAGAGAGAGAUGGAUGAGAUGCGAAUUGAAGAAGAAGAGGAUUUGGGAGAGGAAUCGGAGAACGCUUACCAUGGUGAUGAGUUGGAUUGGAUUGGAUUUGGAUCGAGGAGAGGCGCCGCCGAGGAUGACGACGAAAGAGGUGAAGCGCGGAAGGAGAAGUAGAAACCCUAGGCUUUAGAUCGGUUACAUAUACGUACACGUGAUCGGUUUAUGUAUUAUUGGGCUCGGCCCCGUUGGUUUAAUGCAGUGUAUCGGUUAAUACCAAAGAGAAUUGGGCUAAUUGGGCUCGGCCUAACAAAUGCCUUGGAUUCGAAACCAGGUUUCUUAUCGGAUCGAAUCUUUUCAGCAUUGAAACGGAUCUUUUAAAUUCCGUUCGAAUCUACAGUAUACAUCUUCAUGUAAAAUCUGCGCGAAUAUUUGACAAAUUAAAUAAUGGAGUUUUAAUUCUUUCGAGUUACCACCAACUGCUAGAUUGACAAAUGAAAUAAUGGAGUUUUAAUUCUUUCGAGUUACUACCAACUGGUAGAUGGGAAGGUCCUGUUAAGAAGACAAUGGGUGUCUAUUAAAAUGGGAAAAAUAGAUAGUAAAGAAUUUCCCGAGUUCAAGAGCGUAAUUACAGUAAAAAGGGCAGCAGGUAAUAAUUAUGGUCGCUAGAUUCAAAUUUUGCUCCAGCUUGUAAGAAAAGGAAUAAAAGAGCAAAAAAAAAAGAAAAGAAAAUGCUUACAUCUAAAGAAAAUUUUGGUCCAGGAUAAAAAUAUAUCUGAUCCUAACGCGGUAUCGAGCUCGCUCGUACAUCAAUACAAGAAGUAAACCAAUAAACCCAGCACCAAUACAGGGCACUUGCAUCAACAAUUAAUCAAAAUGCUUAAAACACGAGAAUAGCUUCUUUUUUUUUUUUAAGAGAUAGAUAGUAUGCUACCCGCUUCGUUUAUUUCAUUUAAACUUAGCUGGAAAUGUAAAUCAACUAAGAUUCGAACUUAAAAUCUCGAGUACCAACCACCAAGUCCUUUGCCACUUGCGCUAUGGACGGUCGGUUAAAACACGAAAAUAGCUACCCAAAUGGUCUCUGUGCAAAUAAUGGACAAAACGAAAAGCUAUACAAACAAAGUUACAGGAAUUUUAUUUUCACCGUGACUAAAUAUUCAAAGCAUAAAACUCUUCAAACACGCUCCCUUGUUUCUAAGAUCAUAGCACUUGGAUAUCCUGAUUCGACCCAGUUCAGCAUCUCACUGCAAUUCACCCACCGGCGCCUCGUUGAGCCAUAGGAAGUGGAUGAAGUUGUACAACUUUCCACUCACACUCACCUGAGUGUUAAUUCAUCGCAGGAUUUGUUAAAGAGAGAAAAUUAGGAUUUGUUAGAGAGAGAGAGAGAGAGAGAGAGAGAGAGAGAGAGAGGACCUUGUAAGGUGUAGGGUUUAAGCGCCUCAUAUGAUCCGGUCGCAUUUGUUCCAGCUGCUGCAUGCAUCGAGUUCUAAUCUUUUUUAUCGAUGGUAGUUCUUCUCUUGGUUUACCUGCAAGAAAUAAAAGGGAAAUAAUUUAUAAGACUAUACAAGAUCAUAGAACGCGGAGCUUUGCACUGAAGGACUUUUCAAUGGUUGGGAAUGCCCUUCCUCAUUUAAAAUAGAAACUUAUGAUCCAAGUGCUUGCUUGGCCUUAGCUUCAGGAAUAGUGUCCCCACUCCGAAAAGCAGUUGCAGCGCAUUGAGACACAGAAAAUUCAGAGCUUCCAUUGCGACGGGGAAGCCGAAAAUAAGUUUUUGGGCCUCGCAAGGCAAAAGCUCCUGUUUGAAUCUUUCGCUUCUUUUGCAAUUAGUAGUAGUAUGAUUUUUACCAUACAAGAUAGUAAAGGGUGUUCUAGUAAAAACAACUACUAAUUCUUUUUCAAAGGCUCUAAUUUAAGUAGCACUUUUAUAGAAGCACAUAGGCCCUAAGACACAUCAUCAUAUAAAUAAAGUGAUCUUUCUUAAGAGCAUUAUUUGCUGCACUUUGCAACAACUGUUGAUUAACCAGUUUACAUAACACCAUGGUGAAGAUAAAAAUAAAGGUGCCCAAAAAAAACAAAACAACAGGGAAAAAUGAAAGGAAAUGAAGGUUCUUACAUGAAUUUCCAGGCCAAUAACACUUUAGAAGCUCCUCCACACGCUGAGGAACGACAUAUGCCCUCUUAGAUUCAUUAAAGGGGUGACGACAGAGAAUGCGCUCACCUGCCUAAGAUAUUGAAAUAAUAAAAAGGGGGAGGGGUCGAUGCAAAGUUUGUAAAGGAAACUUCAUUUUGCAACUUCACUAGCUGAAAAUAAAAAGUAAAUACAUGAAAUCCCUCUCUUUGAAAUGAAUUUCCCCAUUAACUCGUGCAGAUACUAACCACCGAACAAGAGACCAUAACUCACCUUAGGAGGCGGUUCACUUUCCCCAGAUAUUAUAUCUACCAAUGGGUAGCCUUCUUUUCCGUACAAGCGGAAGCAUCUUUUUUUACAUGGUAUGGACACCUAGAAAACAAACAAUAUUAAUUAUUCAACCAAAAAAAUCAAAAUCCCAACCAUGUAGAAUCUUCAGGAAAUGUACCUUCGCUAUGUCCUCCGAUAGUUUGAUGCGAGGCUGAUUAUUAAUCUCGACUAACUUGAAUACACAACCAAGAGCUGCUUGAGCAUAACAUGUUACAAGAUAAGUCCCAAUUCCAUAGGCAUCUACCUCAUGUCCCUGGAGAGAGAGAGAGAGAGAGAGAGAGAGAGAGCUUGUGUUACCCAGUAGUAAAUAACAUAAACCAAGGUUUUCAAAACCCAUUUCAAAAUGUGCUACAGUUAACGUGGUGUUUAUAUGUUUCCAGCUUAUUUUCUGAAGUUCUUACAAACAGCAUUAAACAUCUUGAGCAAGGCUUUAUUAUCUUACCUGCUUAUUCAAGGCAUCUAUUGUUUCCUCAUUCAGAUCGUUGCUAGCGGUAAUAGCCAUUUCCCCAAAACCAGCGAUGCCGAAUUCCUUUUCUAUCGCACGAAAGAACUUUCGAGCUUCAUUUGACUGAUAAGCUAGAUCACCAGAAUCCAAUCUAAUUCCAGAUGGUUUAUACCUGCAUCAGUUAUGUUUGGUUUUCAGCUUCGCAAAAUUGAAAAAACUAUACAUGAACAGAAGAAAUAGCACCCUUUGUUAUGCGUACAGAAAUAUGUCAAAUUAUAUCAUAUAGAUAUACACGGAAAGAGAAAAUGAUUUUGUCAUACAGAAAAUAGGGCAGUUUGUUGUAAAAUGAUUUUAAUACAAAAGCUUACCCCAAACUGUUAAGUGCUAAAGCUACUGCGCAGAAGUUUGGAAGUCCACUUCGCAUAACCUGGUGAAUAAAAGCAUUCACUAAAUUACUGUCAAAACAAUGAAAAUGACGACAAUCAUCUAUUGAAUGAAAAUCUUGCUCUAUGGAACUAUUAAUGCACAUAUAGUUGGAAAAAAAAAAUUGAACAUGAAGCAGGGGGCACAUGAAUAUUGGAGCCUUAACAACAAUUUUUAUAAAUUACCGAAGUGCACUUGAUAUGAGAAUAAUGAACUUCCUCGGAAAAAAAAGAAAAAGAUAUUAGAAUGAUGAAACUUCAACUGAGGAAAUAUAACUAGCUUCACAUUUUCCGCUGAUCUAUUGAAUCAUCCACAAAGCAGCUAUGCAUGUGUGAAAAGAUUCAUAUCAUGAAAUCAAAGAUGAAGCAUAAUAGAUAAGAAAUCCAUUAUGACAAGCACUUAAAAACUGAGCACAAGCAUAUGGAUUGCAUUAGAGAAAAAGUAGCAAAUAGGGAUAUAUCCAGAGUUGAUCCCUCAUCAAGGCAGAUAGGAGAGUUGCCAAAUGCUCUAUCAUGUUCUCUCUCUAUACAAAAUAUAGUCAAUGCUGCACAUGUAGUUGUAUACGAGUAUAUAGCAGCUAGGUGCAACAUAAGUGGCGAAACAUCCUUUUUUUCUAAUGUUAAUUCGAUAAAUACAUCUGCUUAUAAAGAUAAAAUAGCUCUUCCAAAGAGUAAAAACAUUAUCUUGCCACGAGUCAAAAGCAUUGCAUGCGAGCAUUUUCCAUCAGUUCGUAAAAUUACAGAGUAAAAUAAAAACAACAAAAAAGAAUCAGACUACCAAAGCUGCAAAAACUCACAUCGUAAGUGUCUACAAGCGCUAGAAAGUUGUGUGGAAAUGCCAAUGCAUAUGAAGUGAACGCAGCAAGCUCACUUUGAUUUGUCUCACCAAACACACCAUGCAAAGAACCUGCAAGCUAAUUUGCAGAAGGGAAUGUGACAUUAUUUCCAUGCUAUAGAUGAUAAAUUGAUAAUUAAUAGUGAUCAAAUAGCUGUAAACUCGAAUGUUAUAAAUAUAUAAACCAGCAAAUAUAUAAACUCCUGCAGAUACAUAUAACCCUGCAAACAUGCAUAAUUCUGGAAACAGAGUGGGCAAGUGUACAUGUAACCCAGAAAGCCUUAUUAAUCUGCACACAUUUUCCUGAUGAGGACAUGAAUGGAAAUAACUAUGGAUUUCAGAAGCGCACACAAAAACACUAAGCUUGCAGGGGUAUUUACAUAAAUUUACACAUUUUCACUAGUAUAUAUGCGAGAAAAAAAAAAAGCAUUAUAAAAAGCCAACAUUGAAGAUAAAAGAAAAGUGGAGCCCAGCAAUUAGCACCUGAAUUCUGCUGAGCCAAGUCUGGACCAGACUAACAAAAUCCUCACAAACUCUUGAGCCAUCAUGACUCUUAAGUGCUUUGUCCAGUAUCUCAUCGAUGCUCUAGUAAAAAGUUUAGUAUGUGAGAAAAAGUUAAAUUACACUUCUAGCAGUGCCGAAAAGAUAGAUAAUAGAGAGAAAAGAAAACAUCUAGAAUCUUAAAUCAUUUCUGUAUAGAAGUGAAUGUAACAAAAUGCACUUUGCUUAAAGGUAAAAAAACAGACAAGACACUCUUAUCCAACAAUGUCCAAGAUCACAUAAUUGAUAAACAAAGUGCGCAAAAAGAUGGAAAAAGUUAAUGAAGAUAUUUUUGAAGUAAAUCAGAGGGUGAUUCACUAAGUUUAUGAAGAUAAAAGGAACUAAAAUACAGUUCUGCAGCUAUAAUCUAUUCAAUUAGUGUUUCGCUACACAAGUUUAAAAAAUAAAAUAAAAUAUUAUAGGGGCGUAUUUGACCCAGCUAGAAAUUCUAAGGUGUGAGUGAAUUACAAUGACAAAAUAUACAUAUGGUAAAAAUAAGCCACACUAUUUUAUUGUCCGCACCAAAUGAAGAAUAUCGCCAUAAAGGGAAAAAAACACAAAAAGCAAAAGGGGAAUGUACCAACCAUAUAUGAGCUGACAAAAGCAUGAGAAUGUGUCCCACGAAGUGGAAUGCCAAACAACUUUCCAGCAGCUACAUUGCUGUACAUAGGAUAAGAAAUAUUAUCCAUAAGGCCAAGACAAAUCUAAUAGAUAAUUUCCCUAUGCAAAAACUGAUAAAUUAAGAUUUUUUACACGUAACACAUUUUUAGAAAGCCAACAAACCUAAUAAUCCAUAUCUUGUUACAACAAAUUGUAUCAAAAAACUCAUGUUACAGUCAAGCUUCAAGCAUACACAAAGUUAAUAGCAUUAAUAUACACAAAAAAAACAAGGUUUAAAAUGAAAAGAAGUAUGAAAAUAAACAUAUAAAUGAAGAAACUAAGUUUCUAUUAAGGUAGUUUCAUAAAUCGAUGGAACCAACAGAUGUACCUUUUCAAGAAGAUUUAUAUUUAUACAACUAGGUAGGUGAUAAUGCUUCAGCCUAGCAAAAUUUACUUCACAUCUUACAGAUGUUUAUUCCUAACACCAUUUUUAAGUAUAGUAUGACUUCGUAUAAUAUUAAUAAAGAAUGGAAUGAAGGAAGAUACUAGUUGCAUUAUGAUGGUCCUCGUAAUCAACUUGAGGAUUCAUUAGUUACGAUUUUUUACAUUAUUUUGUAGGAUAGGACAUGACAAAAGAUUUACUAACUUAUUUUUCUGCAGAAUCUAGAGAACCCAAUUUGCAUGCAGCAUGCAUGUGUUGAAUCAUCACAGAAGAAAUGCAAAAACACCAGGAAACCUACCUAUGACCAGAGCACGAGCUUUAAUCUCAUCAAGAUGAAAAAAGAAAUUUGAGAAUUUGGUCAGUAUAAUUAUACUAGAUUAAGAUAGCAGACCUUGUUGCAUCAAAUCCUCCAAUAUAGGUAUAUUUUGAAGCACUUAUUCCACCAUCAGGACCCUAGAACAUCAACCGGAAAAGUUAAAGCUUUCACGAAGGACCAACAAAUAAGAUGUUUAAGUGUUAAAUCCAGUGAGAUAGGAGGAGAUUGUCCACCUGUGCUCGUCGAAGUCCAAAUUCAAGUAGAAUUUUCGAUUUUCCUGCUACAAAGCGGUGCCGUGCAGCAUUUGUUGUCACCAAAGAGGCAUAAUUAACUAGAUUGAUAAAUGGAGUCUCAAGCAGUUGAACCACCUAAUUAGCACAUAGAAAUAAACACCUUUGACAUGGAUUCUCACUGUGCAAGGAUAAUACAGAAGUGCGUAACUAUGGAAAGGAAUUUUUUUUUCAUGGCCAUAUACAUAAGAAAAUAGCAAGUUAAUGGAUUUCUGGUUUACUCACAGCAACUGGUCCUUCAACUCUCAUCAAGGGGACCUUUGGAAAAACAACAGAACCCUCAGGAAUGGCGUAUACCUCCACAUCAGAACAGUCGAUUUCCUUUAGGUAGUCAAAGAAUCCCUCCUAGAUAAAUAGGUGAAGAAUCAUAAUGUAAGCAUAGAAAUCUCUGGCUAUCUACAUAUGAUUAUGAGAUCAACAGACCAAUCAAAUAACAUCAGGAAAGUGGUUUACAUAUCUCAUGACAAGGAAUGGUCACGCACAGUGUUUCUUGGCAGCCAUUAGAAAUUCAAAUGAUAUAAAGGAAAUAAAUUUACCACUGCUAUUUGCAACUCAAUCAAUGGGAAGAACAAUGAUUUUCCAGGUAACAAGUUGACUCUCUUUUUACCUUCUGCAAUUAGCUUGCUUUAUAUUUAAUAUUUGUCUAAUUGGAUUUAUAUUGCCACCCACAACCUCAAAAUAGAGGAAAAGGAGUUAAUGGCUCUGCCACUAAUUUAGCUUGUUCUCUUACCAGAAAAAACAAAAUGCAACAAAUCCACCAGACAGUUUAGAAUUUCUCCAACACAAAAAAUCAUUGACAAUAACUCUCCUAGUGUGGGUGAUAAGUUAUGGUUCUCUCUUUUGUGAUUCAUAUCUAGGCAUGUUUUACACUUGUAUUGAACGGUGGAACAAAAUGAAAAGUUACAUUGGCUACAAAUGAAGCCAUAUAAUGUCCAUAAGGAUAAAAUUGAAAAAGUUCUGCAACAGAAAGGCCAGAAGAACUUAUGCUAAUUUACAAAGAAACUCCUGCCAAAAGUGAUGCAGCAGAGAUAACUUAAAAAGGACAAUAGUGGCUCCCCAAGUUAAAAGUAAUAAAUUCAUGGCAAACACAGAGAGAAGGAAACUAUCAGAGUUUCCAGAGCACAUGACACUCAUUUUUUUAUAAAUUACAAAACAUGCUUAUCCUCGGAGCAGGAAAAAAUAAUAGUCACAAUAUAGGCUGCAUGUCAUUCACCUCAUGUAUUGUCGGCAUGACUGACUUCAGAAAAGUUAUAUCCUCGUCUUUGAGCUUAAAAUUGGCUAUAAAGUGGAUGCAUUCUUCAAGACCAGCAAAGACAGUGUAUUCACCACCAAAGGGGUUCUUUCUGAAGUACAGAUCAAACCUGUAACAAACUAAAAGCGACUAGUAAAUACAAAGCGACCUACGUGAAAUCUUUAACAGACGACUCCAAAUAAUCAGACUGACCAAAACAAGGAAGCGGGACAUAGAAUAUAAUCUCAUAUAAAGCUAGUUUCAAGCAGCUUGCAAACAUAAAAUGAACAAAGUCACAAACAGAUGCCUUGACAAAUGAAGAAUUGCAAUAAUCGUCGUAGUUUUAUGGUUGGAUCUGUUUUGAGAAUUGAGCAGUCAGGACAACUCAAUUUCACCUAGGUAACAAAUUAAGACGAACCUAAGGGUAAAAGGAAAUAGCUUUAAACUGAUCACAGGAAUACCAAAUACACUACCCAUCAGACAAAGACGAAUAUCUCCUUCCAGCAGUAUCAGGCCAUUUCCACUACCUUACACCAUAUUUCAUCAAGUGGCCAUGAAAGAGAUGAAAAUGGUCGCAAAUAAUUGGAGGACGAUCCAUAUGUAUUGCAAUUGAUUCUACCGAAUAGUUUUUUUUUUUUUUAAGGUCCUUAUUCUAUACAGCUGAGAAGGACAGUGAUGUUUAAAUACACAUCAGAUAUUUCACCAAUGUGCUUUGUUAAAAAUAAAGAAAAAGAAAAAACUUUAUGAGAUAAAUACCUAUUCUGAGCAGCUGGCAUAAUGCAAUUAUCAGACAGCAUCAAAAUCAAAAUAAUGUAAAUGACAUUUGAAGACAUCACGCAUUCCACCUCUCAUCCCCUCAAAACAAAAUGUAAAAAAGACAUAAAACUACAAACAUUAGGCGCACAAACGUUAGUUUAGAGCUUGCUCCAAUGCUAAAACUAACAACUCUUGUCCAAUCAUUUGGUCUGCAUAACAUAAUGAUUACAAUAAAUAUGACAUGCAGCAUCCAAAUCUCAGAAGCAAUCAAAUAAAUGGCUAACUUUCAUCAACAAAAGAAAACUAGGGAAAUCAUCAAAUAACACUUAGUCAUUUGGCACAUUUGCUCUAUACUGCACUACGAUUUCAUUUCUCACACUUAAUUAACCAAUAGUUGUUGUUUUAUUAUGCCAUAAGGACCUGAUACCGACGAUAGGUUAGAAAUUGUACGUGCAAUCAAAACCAACUCAAAAUACAAAUGGCCAUAAAACAGAGCUAUCAUUCCCAUAUUCCAUUUCUAGCAUACCACAUGCCUUUGUUAACAUGUUGUUAAUGGGAGGUCCUUAUGGCGUAAUGAAAUAGCAGUCACGUAAUAUCGAAGUGCAAAUUUGCUAAUCCACAACGUGUUAUUCGAUAUUUUUUCCCAUAUAUCUAACACGAACAUUAACGAAACCUAAGCAUUUCAUGAAGAAAAUGAUCCCAACAACAUAUUUAAGCUAGGAAAAAACGUCAAACAUCUUCUGAUCAACACAAACAGCACCAAAUCAACGCGAAAUCGAGGGCAAAUUCACGUAACAGAGGGAUCGAGAGCACUCACACGGCUCGAUCGAGGUGCUUCCCCGCCUUCCAAUAGGCGUAUGCCAUGGUGAACUGGUACAAGUCCGUGAGCAUCGGCGUCACCAUUGGAUUCGUCGGCCUCCCUAUCUCCGCCGCCGCCGACCCGUUCUCCGUCGCCUUCGCCACCGCCGCCGCCAUGGCUGAGCUCCUUCUCUUCUUCUUCUUCUUCUUCCCCUCCUCCCACUCGAUCUCUUGGCUUUGUUAGGUUUACGAUCGCAAGCAGAGGAGGAGAAGAAGAGGAGGGAGAGGGAGAGGAGGGAAGAGGCGAAGGAGAAAUAGGCGGUGGUAUUUAUAGUGUGUUUCCCCUUUUGGUUCAGCAUCGUUUUGGUUGUCGCUUUUUUUUAAUUUAAUUAAAAUAAAAUAUUAGAGGCCACCAUGCAAAACGAUGAUGAUAUUAUUAUUAAAGGCCUUUUUUGCAUUUUGGCCCCUGACAAAAAUUAUUUUAAAAAUAGUCCCAAUAAAUUUAUAUUUACAAAUAUGGUCAUAUUCCUGUCACGCAGGUGCCACUUCAGUACCACGUAAACAGGGUUGUGCCAGUUUGUUAAGUUAAAUACAGUGAACCAUUCACCAUGUCUAAAUACGGUGAAUGGUUCACCAUGUUUAGAAAAAAUAUAAGAAAAAUAUAAAUACGGAACACGUUGAACCAUUUAUCGUAUUUGAACACGGUGAAUAAGGAAUAUAAGUAUGGAACACGGUAAAUUAUUUACCGUAUUUGAACACGGUGAAUGAUUCACGAUUAACUGUGUUCAAUUUAACACCCCCCAGCUUGCGUGGCGCUAAUGUGACGUUUGCGUGACAGGGAUAGGGCAAAAUUUGUAAUUAUAAAUUUGAUGGGACUAUUUGUAAAAAAAAAUUUGAGGAGGCUAAAUACAAAAAAAAAACCCUUAUAUUAAUUAAUGAAAUUUAUAUAUUAAUCAAAAUAUAAUCACUGUAUUCAAUAUACAUAAAUUCUAAUACGGAAGCAAUUAAUAUCACUAAACCAUCUGAAAAUUUGAAAGUAGUAUAGUACAAUGAAACAUUACAAGUUUACGCAGAAUUUCUAAUCGACCAAAUUAAUUUGAUAUAAUUUAUUUUUUUUUCAGAUUUAAAUGUUAAAUAAAUUAGAGUAAAUUGUACAUUUAAUUGAUGCUUUGCUACAACAUAUCUAAUCACACCAAUCUAUUUUUCCUAUGGAUAUAUAGUACUAUUAAUACUUUAGAAAUUACUAAUAAUAUAUGCAUUGAUUAAAUAUUAGCCAUAAUGCAUUGAAUGAGAAUGAGCCCAUUGAUUCUAUGUAAUUUGUACAUAGUUAAGAUAAAUUUGUUAACAUCAUCAUAAGCCCUAAAUAUGCUAAAUAAAUAUGGUGACCUAAUGUUAUAGAGUGUUGUAACAAGCACUAUAAUUUAAUGAAAAAUGUGAGGAGUGACCAAAAUCAACAAAUGAGCCGGGUCAAUGAGGCUAAUUGCUUUGCUGAUGCAAUGGAUGUGGAAUCUGGAACAUAGUGGAUUGUCGCUUUCCAAUGAAUGUGGAAGCUACGAGUCAUUAGUCACGUCAUAUGAUGACUUAAAAAAAGCUUACUUUGUGGGAGUCAUAAAGUUGAUAGUGAAAUGCCAUUUAUUUAUCACAAAAUUUCUGAUUCAAUUAUCUAAAAUUAUUUUUUAAAAUAACUUAAAAUAUAUUUUCACCUAAAAAACUAUAGGCCAAUUUGCAUAAAAAAAUUCACAAGUUUUGAGCUUUUGCAAAACUGGGCCACCUUUUUCAAUUUUGUAUAUUCGGGCCGAAUUUUUCACCAUCGGACGAAAAUACUCUUAUUCCUUUUCUUUUUCUCUCUUCUUUUUGCUCUCUCUUUUUUCUUUCCUUCAUUAUUUUUUUUUCUUCCGCCGCCGACUCCUCUGUAGCGCCCUCCCCAUCGCCUUCUCCUCCUCCAAUGAACCCACCUCCUCCUUCCACUGCCUCUCCCUCUCCCACUACAACGCCUCCAUCUCCUCCUCCAGAUCCGACCCCACCCCUACGGUGCCAAUCUCGAGGACUCCCGCGGCGGCGGCGGCGGCGGAGGAGGAGUUGGCCGGGGAUCCCUCUCCACCGACCACUUCUUCUCCGACCUCCUCCGCGCCUACCUCAUUGCCGACCUCGCAGAGAUCGCCGGCCACAUGAUUCGCACCAGGUGCGGCCAGGAGCUGAGCCAGAUGUACAUCGCCGUUCGCCGUGACGCCAUCGUGGAGACCCUCGCCGCCCUUGGCGUCGACAAGAUGAGCAUCGAGAAGGUCUAGAGGAUCAAGUAGGGCACCCUCUACUCCAAGAUGAAGAAGUGGAUCCAUGCCCUCAAGAUCAUCGUCCAAGUCCUACUCUCCAGCGGGGGAGAUAAGAGCGUCCAAAGAAUGCAAAUUUUUUAAGUGUAAAAAUGGUGUAAUGGUGUAAAAAAGAAGAAGGAAGAGGAAAAGGAAGGGGAGGAGAAGAAAAAAUUAUGCAAUUUUGGGAGAAAUGAUGCAAAAUUGUGCGAUUCUCACCAAAAUUGGCCCUAUUUUUUUACCAAUUUUGCACCAUUUUUUCCAAUUUUGCACUAUUUAGGUAAAAUUUACACUAUUUUUUUUUUCCUUCUUCCUCCAAUUUAUACUAUAUUUUUUUCUUCCUCUUCUUCCUCCUUUCUCCUCCUUCUCCUCCCUGUGGCAUCGUGUAGCACCGCCUCGGCAGCCCACCUUCUCGGCGUAGGUAGGGCUCGAGAUAGGAAAGGUGGGGGUGGCGACAGCGGAGCGCGGUCGGGCCAGCUGCGGAGCCCCGCAAGGACCAGGCACCCGCGCGUGGCGGCGAGGAAGGCCAAGAACGGAGACGCUCCGGGCGCACAGGGGCGGAGGGGGCGGGUCUAGGCUCGGCCCCCGCGCCCUCUACUUUGGCCCCGCGCCUUCCGCCUCGCCCCGCGCCCUCCACCCCUGUGCCCCCGGAGUGCCGCCACUCCUCGCCUUUCUAGGCGGCAGAAGAAAAAAAAUAACAAAGGAAAAAAAAAAAAGAGAGAAAAAAGAAGAGAGAGAAAGAAAACGAAUAAGGAUAUUUUCGUCCGAUGGUGAAAAAUCCAGCCCAAAUAUGCAAAAUUGAAAAAGGUGGCCCAGUUUUGCAAAAACUCAAAACUUGUGAAUUUUUUAUGCAAAUUGGCCAAUACUAUAAGGGAAAAAAAAAAAAAAAAAAAAAAGGAGACAAGAUCAAGCUGUAUAAGUCUCCUAUUUUGUUAAUGAGUUUCACAACAUUAUUCUAUAUAUUAUUAAUAUGUUGGUAAAUUUCUAUGAUAUUUUAAAAUACGCAUAUUAGCAAAUCAAAAGCUUUCACAUCAAGAUUUGAAAGCACCUAAAACAUAAAGUUAAGGGUCCGUUUGGUUAAAUUUAGUUAUAAAAACAUUGUAGUUGAAAAUAUAAGCAGUUGCAAAUACUGUAGUCAUAACUAUAUCUAGUCUGUUUGAUUUUAUCCAGUUGCAACUGUUGCAAUUACAUUUCUUCUGUUUGGUAGACUGCAGUUGUGAUUUGUAUUUAUAAAUUCUGUCAAUUUUUAAAUGAAAAUGUGAGAUUAGCAUUGUAGCAGUCAAAUCG
rnacentral:lncRNA from 1 species